rnacentral:lncRNA from 1 species
CCCAAUUAAUUCAACAUGAUUAGUCCUUUAAUCUUUGUUCUUAGUACUACCUUCGUGAUCCCACACUCCUAAUCAUAUAAGCUAAAAUGUUGCACAUUCAAUCUUUGGAAGAUAUAAACGAAACAUAAAUAUAGAUAGAUUAUCUUUCCAUUAGGAUGAGCUAUAUGAUCUGACAAAUGUUUCAAAUGCUACACUCAUGAUCCAUCAACUUUGUCUUGCUCACUAUGCUUAAGGUUAGAGAAGAACAAAUACACUUUUGGUUUUGUUGGUGUUUUCCACCAACAGGGCCCAUGCACUAGAUCUCCUGCCUUGUCUCUAUGAAUAGGUACACUUUAAACAAAACAUGCAGGAGUUUUACAACUCCCAGAUUCCACCAAGUGAAGAACUGGGAUCUACGAGCACAAACACAAUGGAGAUCAGACACUUAGUUUCCCAAAGGAAAUAUUGAAGAACCUCUUUGUCCGAGUUGGUACCUUGUAUGCUCCAGCAAACUUCGUGGUGAUAGAGACUAGUACUGAGGAGAGGGCACCCAUCACCUUAGGGAAGCCAUUCCUAAACACCAGAGCUGUCAUCUACGUUAAUGCUGCCAAGAUCCGUUUCUACAUCAAGGGGGAGAAGGAGACUUUCCUUCAAGAACAAGACUACACAAAUUUCAGAGCAAUCCCGACAUGAACCAAGGAAGAGGACCAACAGGAGGAACAGGAACAAGCAAAUGUGGACUGAGUCAGCUAAGAUGGUCACUGUAGCUCAAGGAGGUCAAGAUCGUCGACUCAAGUUACCUUUCUUGAUCAAGAAGGACGAUCCUGGUGUUCCAAGCAUCGAGUGCACAAUCAAUGGAUACUCUUUUCAGAAGACACUCUACGACAUCGGAUCUAACGACAACAUAAUGGCCACAGUCACUUAUCAGCUCCUGCAUGGAAUCAUGCCCCUACAACCAACAUACAUUCAGCUCCAGACGAUUUUCAGGUCAUUGACAUGGGAGAAGACGAGUAUGAUCCACCCACCAUCCUUGGAAGACCGUUCCUCAACACUAUCAAAGCCAUCAUCUAUAUUAGAAUCGGAGAAGUCCACAUACACUUCUCCUCUAGGAAGGUAUGCCACUACUUUAAUGAUUCUAACUAUAUAGCUGAAGAUUCUAAGCAGGUCAGGACAAGAAGAAGACAACGCAACCGCAACCAGAGGAGGCAAAUCAUCAAGGACGGAUGGGUAGACUAUGAAGGAGAAGUGAUAAGGUCUGAAGACAUAUAGCUUGAACAGAACUGUCCUGAGGAGACCGUAGCACCGAGUCUGGUGUGGAGAGAGAAGAUAGUUAUACACGAAGAGAGGCGCCGCCGGAAUCACCGACUACGCCACCUAGCGAAUCCCAGGACGACUGAGAAAACGGAGAGUCCCGUUCGGAGGACUUAAAAAUACCGAACGCCUUGCCAAGAGGUAAACUUGGUAGUUAUCCUUUCCAUUCAAUAGUUUGCUUAGUUAAUCAGGUUCAUGCUAUCUGGAAAAGAAAAUAAAAAUGUUAAAAAAAUAGUAAGCGCCAUGUGAGUAUGCUCAUGGCAUAAAACCCAUAAGUACAUUCACUGUGGUGGCAUAAAAAUAAAAAUAAAAUAAAUAAGUUUUCAUCUUACAAUAAAAAUAUAAAAAUAAUAAGUGCAUGAUCCUGCUAAAUAAGUAAUAUUUAUUGAGGAGGCUCAACAUGAUAAAUGCUAGAUAUUUAUGCUAACACUUAACCAGUUCCACAAAGCUUUGUUGUCUAUUUGAGCUCUACAGAAUUGAAGAAUCAAGAAGACUAGCAGACAGAGGACAUUUUAAUCGCUGUCAGAAUGCUGCUGACAUCAAAUACACCUCCGUCACCUGCUAGCACAUCAGAAGAAAUUACGUCAAAAUCCAGCUUGGGGGAGAGCACCCCCAUUUAUCCAGCUAAGUGUUUCUACUCGCGUUUAUACUUUACUCAAAUAAUAAAAGAUGCAUAAUCAUGAAAACCCAAAUAAAUAUUUUGUGCUUUUAUAUAUAUAUAUCUUUGCUUAGUUUGCUAAAUAUAUAAAUAAAUAAAGUUUGCUAUGAACCCUCAUGAUAAUCUCUCACAUGGAAAUGAUGAAUAGUUGCUCUGCCAUGACUAGUUUUCAAAAUUGAAAUCUCUCUCAAGUUUAGGCAUGACUGUUAUGAAUUAAGAUUUGCUCUAACCUGAACAUGUGGGAAGAGUACUUGAUCUAAAGUCUAAGUUGUUAACGGAUAUGAUAUGGAAAGGUUGAGCUGUUGUUUAUCUGUUUCCAGAGAUGCUAGAAUUCUGGAGAAUUUUAUCUUUGAAAAUCUUUAAAAUAACACAUGAUGAGUUCCUAUAUGAUGAGAGUUUAAAUUCCUACCACAGCCAUAUAUACAUGCUUAUUAGACUUUGAGCCACACAUUUACUUUUUACUGCUUAUGAGCAUUGAGUGUGGUCAAGCUGUGUAGACCCUUAGGAGCUUGUCAUGUGGUUAAAAUCAAGAUUCACUUGCACGUUCACUCAUACAUGCUACUUCUACUCCGGAAGUACCAUCCACAUAUAUCCACUCAUUUCCAUCUCCACAUUCACCCGAAAUUAUUCUACUCCUAAUCCGGGAGAGAAUAGCCAAAAACAUUUUCCUAUCCCUGUUAUUCCCUAUGAAAUAAAUGCUCGAGUUAUCUUGGUUACUACCACUUGCUACAUUAUCUCAGGAGAUGAGUGCUCUAAAAAAACAAAAGGAGAAGAAAAAAAGAAAAAAAAUACGAGGAAAUAAAAAGGGGCAAGUGCCCGGAACCUCGAAGGAAAAGAAAAAGAGUGAGACGAGAGGUAAAAAAUGGACAAGUGUCCGACCGUAGAAUUAGGGGUACAAGAUACCCACCUGAGAGGAAAGAAAAAAAAUAUAGAGCAUCUCAUACUCCCAAAAAAAAGCUUCAAAGUGCAAGAAAGGUAUGUAUCCCCUCAAAAGAGCAAAAGUAGAAUUAGACUUUCACCAUUAUUAUCACCAUCAUCACCAUACACCAUUCAUUCGCCACACAUGCACAUCUUGAUUUGACUUAUUGACUUGUUUCUCUGGAUCCAUGGUUUGACUAUGCAAUAAAUGUCUUGUAAGUAUGUAUUAGCUGUCUCCCACCUAUGAGCUCUAGAUAUCAAAACCUUAUUAGAGUAGGAUGAGAAAGAAGGCAAUAUCACUAUGCAUUACACCAAAAAUACCACAUACUUUGAGAGAAGGCAUAUACCAUUACUGCCUUGGUAAGGAUCCAGAAAUACACAAAAGAGAGAUAUGAGAGAGUCAUACAAGGAAUCUCUGAGUUUUAUUUGAAAAUCUGCAAAAACCCCAGAGCUAUAGCUGAUCAAGAAGAAGAGACAUGGCGCUUGACUUGACCGUUCUAUCUUUUAACUGCUCAAGACACAAGUAACGGUUACAAGCCCCAUGGUGAAAGGUAAAAUGAGUAAGUUUUAAGUCUUAACAGUUUAUUCUAACUCAGAGAUGAGAUCUUGCUUGAAUGCGUGUGUACUUUUAAGGCAUGAAACCACUGCAGAAACUCUUGAGUUCAUCCUUGCUCAGGGACGAGCAAGAGGUAAGCUUGGGGGAGUUUGUUGAUGGUCCUUAAGUAUCAAAUUUAAUUAUCAAAUAAACAAAGAAAAGGAUCCAAAUGAAAUCAACAUCUAGACUUAGGGUUUUAUCUGACUGAAUUCCACGAGUUUUGGUGUUUGUCUAUUUCUGCAGGGGGUUAUCAGGAAAUAAGGAAGAAAGGCCCACAUGUCAGGAUUACAUAGAGAUAUCAACGCACCGCGCAAUUUUCUACCAUCUAGAAGACUCUAGAAGCCACGGGAAGAAAGCAGAGGCCGAAAGGGGCCAGGCCCAGGGCGCCCGCCCUAAGGACCUAGGCGCCCACCCACCUCUGGAAGCCUUUCGGGACUCUCUUCGCACACGAUGUUCCACCGAACUAUUGGAUCAAGGAAAACAUAGUACCACUUCGCCUACCGACCCAAAAACGCAUAGAGGAGGACUAUAUAAGGAGACCCCCCUGGCCCCUCGAGGAGACAAGAAAUUAUCAUAGAGAUUGAGGGGUGCCCUCGAAGGAAAACGUCUUCUCUAAAUAAUAUUUCUUUUUAGGCUUAGCAACCAAUGUAAAGUAGAAAUAGAUCUUCUAGUUUCUACUAGAUUGAGAGAGAUAGAGUGGAGGUGUGGAUCGGAGGAAGGCUGGCCUGUCGGUAUCUACUCCGAGUUGUACCUGCGGGAUCAAGUCUCCUAACUCGAGGCUUGCUUCUAAGAUUCUUCAGUAAUUCGACUUCUAAUUCUAGUAAGUUCUUGUUUUAUUAUUCUUUGGUUUAUGAGUUUACUUUAAUCCUCCUCCGGUUGAGUAUUAGAGUAAUCACUUACUAGCGUAAACGUGGUGUUUAGGCUAGGGUACUCAUAGAUAUCCCCUGACUAGCUGGACCGUGGUAGUAGCGAGGAACGUGACAUUUCUGAGUUACCUUUGUAUCCCAUAUCUUGUUAGCAGGACGGGUAGGUUUAUAGGUGCGGGUCGAACAUCCUUUGUGUUGUCUAGAUUCCGUGAGCCUCCCCAAUAGAACAGUAGAUCAUCCUUACCAAGGUUAGAACGAGCCUCCCCAAUAGAACAGUAGAUCAUCCUUUGCAGUCUUCUCUAUACAUCACUCACAUCGAGAGACAUUCUUUGUAGCCUAAAGGGAUAGUAGCAAUAGAUUUGAUUAGUCAGAUGCACCCUUUCUCCCAGUGGUAAAAAUAUAAAUACGAUAACACUGGAUAACUUCCCGGGUGAAAUGCUCACCGAUAUUCAUGCGCUUGUGGAUCAUUUCCUUAUUGCGUUACCAAAUAUCAACAAAGAACACGAGUGCUCAAGCUACUUGUAGGGUACCACGACCUAGGUACAUUGAAUGCACGAAGGCAUUCCUAGGGUUCUUAGCAGUGCGGUUGUCACCACGAGAACCAAAGAAAUGCAAUGGUCGAAUAGGUACAAGCAUACAAGAGUUUAAGCACAAAGAACCAAAAAGGCGGGAAAAUACACGGGUUUCACUUUCCAUUGACCCACUUGCCAUAGCAACGGCGGAAAUCACGAAAUUGGAAACAAAACAUCAAACAAGCAAAAGGACUCAAUCCGCAUCUUACUAGAUCGACGGGGAUUGAGAUCAAGAGAGAAGAACGAAAUCACACUCUUCCAACCAACACGCCAUAGAACGAAAAACGGUUGGUUAAAAGAGAUACGACCCCACAAUCUACUCCAACUCAUAACACUUCAUGACCUAGGUGCUUCUGCGGCACAAGGUCAUUCCUAUAGUUCCAGCUGAUGCGGUUGUCAUCGCGGGAACUAGGGGAAAUGUCCGAGUCUAGGUGGCAUAAGCAUACGAGACGGAAUAAAUAAACACGCGAGAAAAUAGGAUAAGCUCGAUGGCCAUGGCGAGGCGACUCGCGGCCAUGGGCUUCACCUAACAAGUUGGCUUCCGACUGUUAUACAAAGGUUGCUCCUAAUCUGUAUCCCACUAGACUAGAUCACAGAGGUCUCGAGUGUGCGGUUAAGAACCGCGUCGAUAAAGACAUCGAGUCCACGAUGACCACGUCUGCAAGACAAGAACAAGAGCUAACGACUGUAGCGCGACAGAGUCAACUGAACACAGGAAACGAGUUACGCUCGGCAUCACGAUCACGGCGGGACGAACCCACGAUCGAAACGAUCAAGUGCACUACCACUUCCCCGACCGGCUCGAAGGCUCAGUCCUCAGGCAAAUAACAAAAGAAAGAAUGACGACAACCCGAGAGAAGGGAUAUGCUUGGCACUAUGACCAUGGCGAGACAAACUCGCGAUCGCAACAUUCAAACACAUCAUUCUCUCAACCGGCUCGAAGGCACGGUUCACAACCAACCAACCACACCACACAAGAACCAACACACAAAGAACCACAAUGUCGCGACCAACACAAGACAAAAUAGAGUAGCACAUUUCCAUAACGUCCAACAGAGAUAGAUAAACAGAUAGAUAAUAGACCGGCACGAAGGCACGACACAGGCAUAGAAUAAAUAGAUCAUGUGAAAGGCGUACGACAUGUAUGAACGAUGAUAGAAAGAUGUACAAAAGCAAAAGGGGUUUUUUCGUCGGCGUCGACUAGGGUUCGACCUUGGUGGCGAGGAUGGCAGAGGGCUUCUAUAGCUUGGUUGCGGCUCGGCAAAGGCGGAGCUGGAGGAGAAGGCUUGGGGUUCGGCAACGCUUCGCAGGUUCGGCGCUCUGACAGCAGCGAUGUCUUAAGUCCAGCGGCUCCGACAAGUGGCACAGCGUGGCUGCAGCAUCCCUGCACAGUGAAGAACAUGGCACGAAGGCCGGUCUCAGCGAGGCAAAAUAGGAAGUUAACAAGUAGGGCACUUGCGCACUGGUGGCUCACUGGCGACAGAGACAGACUUGGUGAGGGCGCGUCGAGGCGAGGGCGAGGUAGCAGGGUGACCGUGGUCACCGCGUCCAGCGUCGCACGGCCAGGGUGACGACGUCGCGGUCCCAAGGGAGGUACGACAUCGGCGUGGAUGCAGCAAGGCCACGGCCUUGGGCUUGGGGGCGAGGCAUGGCGAGGAGGUGCUGGUGGCUCGGUAGGGGUCGGGGCAGAGCACAACAUCGUCGUGGUGGCACAGACCGGCAUCGGGGUUGGGGUCGCGGGUGCGUCGGGGCGAGGGCGAGGCCGACACGGCGCGGCCGCGGCUUGUGGACGACGGCGUCGCGAGGUUGGGGCUCGGCGCAGCGAGGGUGCGGAGGCGGCUCACGAGCUCCGGGGGCGAGCCGAGGUGCGGGCGAGGUUGGGGUUGAGGCACUUGGCGCGGUGCGGUCGUGGUUGUGGCAUCAUGCUCCGGCGGGGGUGCGGAGCUCUUGCUCGGCGUCGAGGUCGUGGCGAGGUCGAAGAUGCGGAUACGGACGCGGAGGGGCGCCAUGCUCGCGGUGCUGGCCGUGACGCGGCCACGGCAAGGUCCCGGUCGCGGGCGUGGCCUGCCGCUGCCCGCGGUCGUCGUCGUGGCGGCUUCGGCGGCGUGGUAGAGCAGCAGCGGGGUGAGGACGACGUGGUGCUCAUCGGCGUCCGUGCCACGGAGGCAGAGGGCGCGAUGCGGGUGCCGGGGCGCGGUGCGUGCUCUUCUGGCGACGGCGUCGGUGCUCCUGGGAGCCAGGGGGCGCGGGCGCACCAGCAGUGGCGCCGGCUCGGGCUUUUAUACGUGUCGUGGCCUAGGGUUCUAGGGGUGCUAGGCGCUACAGGCGGUGAUCCUCGGCGUCCGUGCCAUUGGGCGGGCCGCGUGGCGCACAUCUGGCAGCAGCACGGGCGCCCAGGGCACGAGUGCGGCGCUGCAGGGGCGUGACGGCGGGGCUCAGGAGGAGUAGGGGCGUGCUCUCCCUAGGGUUCGGGUGCCGGGGCGUCACUCCUAGGCCAAGCGUGGCCGGGCCAAGUUCUGGGUCGGGGCAGGUAGAUGGGCCGCGCGCAGGGGGCAGAGGGGGAAGGUGGCCCAGGCGGGGAGGAGAUGCCGACUAGGCCUUAGUGCGCGGGAUGGGCCUGGGGUGCGCGGCUCUGGGCCUGGCAGGCCUCCAGCUUGGCCAAGGGGAAGGGGAGGGCGCCGGUUGGGCCAAGGGAAGGAGGCAGUGGGGGGCUGGGCUUGUCAUUGCGAGCUGGGCCGAGGAGAGGAGGCAGGGGAGCUGGGCCGACGGGGGCUGGGGAGGCCGAGGCCUGGCUGGGCUAGGAGAAGAAGUGGGAGGAAGAGGAAAGGUUUUGGCCCAAGAGAGAAAGAAUGCUUUCCCAAAUAUGAAAAAGGAUUUUAAGGUUUAUUCAAAUGGAUAUUUGAAAUGAAUUCAGAGGAUUAUGUGAGAGAGAUUCAAGGAGAGAUUUGAAGGGGUUCAAGAGAGGAACCAAGCAGGCGAGAAAGAUCAUGAAGGGUUAGAAGGAGUUCGAAAGGAAUUGAAAGGAGUUUGAGACGUACUCCAAUGAGAAGGUUGAGAAAGGAUUCACUUCGCCUUUGAGACAGGCUCAACGAAGAUUCGGGAAGACUUUGCUAUGGAUUUGUGCACUCCAAAGAAACUCAAAACCCUAAAUAAGACUAAACACUAAUCCGACUCACGAACAAAGCACUUGCCUACAAGCAAUUCUAUAUGGAUGCAACGAUUUGUUAGCGGGUUAGGAUCGAUUUUUCACCUAGAAACUAUAUGAUUCACACAAUUCUAGGAAAAAUUUUAAAAAGCUCGUAUUUUUGGUUUACGCAAAAUUCUAGGAUGUUACAGUCCACCCUCCUUACAGGAAUCUCGUCCCCGAGAUUUAGGCGUUGCUCGGGCGGUGAAGAAGCAAGGGUGCUAUUCUCGAAGUUCCUCUUACUUCUGAGUUGUUUCACUUUAGUGUGAUCGCUCCACAAACUUUUUCCAAAAUAGGAAUGAGUCAUGUUUCGGGUGUAUCCAAGGCUCACUCGCGGGUGCUGGGUAUCCAAAUUCUUACAACAAGGCGAUAGGUAUCCAAGAAUCGCACCAGGUUGAUGAACAUCGGGCUCUUAAAGUUGAGACUAUUGUUAGUUGACCUAGAUCACCGUGCUCAAACCUUCCUAUUCGCUUGCUUGUUACUCUUCCAUGGAGUGGCAUCCGGUCAACAAAGGGUAGGGCAGGCUCAUGUUAGUUAGGGUUGUUGGCUUUCACAGCCGUUUUUCGUGCAUCACUUUUUGGAAAAAGCUUUUGAAAGGAAUGUUUUUUGGAAAAACAGGUUUCAUAAAUGGAGUGAAAGCGUUACAAAGUCAAAGGGGUUUUAAAGAUAGCUCAAACUGAAAAGAGCUUUUGAAAAGGGUUGAAAUCAACGCAAAUUUUGAAAACCAAAUUGAUUUAUUUUACUAUUUUAUUAUUAUUAUUAUUAUUUAAAAGAUUUUUUUAUGUAAAAGAUUUCAAAUCAAGAGACUUUGAAACUCUUUUAGUUUUCCAAAUGAGGUGUUGCUCUCUUUUAUUUGAAUUAAACAAACUAGUUUUGAAAAUGACUAGAAAUCAUUUCUCAUUUUGAAAGAUAAAGUUUUAACAACAAUAGCAUUUUCUUUUAAAACUUGUAAGUUCAUUUUCUUUUUGCCAAAUUUUUGUAAGGUCGCAAACAAAAAUCUUUUCGCGAUGGUUUUUGUUUAAUAAAUCACUGGAAAUUCCUUUUUCUUUUAAGGCAAGGUUGAAUUUUAAAAGGAAUUUGGCUCUUGAGAUAAAAUCAAAGACCUUUGAAACGAAACUGAGCCAAAGUUCUUUGGUUUGAAAACACUUUGUUGAUGAAAAAGCAAAACUUUUGUUUUUCUGAAGCGAUUUUGUCAUACUUUUUGCAAAAUGACUUGUUUUAAACCGUUUCAUAAAUAGCGUUUGAAUAAGGUUGAGUUGAAAGGGGAGUUAAAAUUGUUUUCUUUGUGAAAAGGAAGGAUAUUGAGAGAGUUUUGAAACACUUUCCCUUUUGAAACCAAGAUGUUUUUGUUAAAGAGGGGAUAUUUUAACCAAAAGGAGAGAAAAAUUUUCAACCAAAGGGGGCAAUUUGAAGACAAGUUUAGUUGGAAGCCAAAAACAGUUUUGAAAUAGAUGGGCAAGACAUGAUGCAUCAGCUUUACACCCUUUUUCAGCUCUGUUAGCCAGGGUCACCUAUCUAUUCUCAGGACGGUCUUAGGUUUAGUCGGCUAGAUUGGACGGGAUCCAGAGUCUUACUCGCAUAAAACAGGUUCUAUGACCUACACUCAAACAACAAGAAGCAGAAGAAACACAACAACAUAAAUUCCAAGCACUCAAACAGCAUUACCACUCCUAAUGCAUAGUGUUGACUUGAGGCGACUCACAGACCUUCAAAGUCUCACACGACUACCGAUCUAGCGUGGGCGGGUAUGGGAAAAGAUUCCAACGGUCAACUUUAUGAAAUAGGGAGGUCAGUUAGCAGUAGAAUUCAAGGUGGAGGGGGAAACAAGCGUUAGCAUCUAUAACUCUACAAAAGAUAGAAUGUUUGGCCUCUAAACUAGUGUUUGGUCCUAAAGGUCUCGUCCUAGGGUCAAGUAUGGCUCUGAUACCAACUGAAACGACCUAGAUUUUUCCACAAAGGGAAAAAUCCACAGAUUCGAAUUAUAAUGUGAUAAUUCAGAAAUUGAGCCAUCACAUUAUCAUAUAUCAGUUGUUAUCAUAGUCAUACAUCAUGAAAAACAAGAUUACAACACAUUUACUUUACAACUCUUGGUCAACAAGCCUAUUACAUCGUUUUUCUAGCGAAAACACACAUGGGUCUUUAUCAGAGUUGAUGUAGCGCGUCAGCGGUGAAGGCUCCACCUUCACGGGCAAUCAUCAGAGUCGGCGUAGUUUAUCAGCGGGCGUAGCCUUCAUCUACGAACCAAACUUGAGCGCAGGAACGAGACCACCUAAUCCUUCUAUUCUCCGUAGUUAUCGUCACACACCACGUUCAGAACCUGCUAAACAAUUUUCAGUACGGUUUGUACUGGCCACUGGCUCCCACCCUAUGCUUUUGCGUAAGCUUUGUGGUAAGUGGAAUGCAAAGGUAGAUCAAGAGGCCUAUAUAUAUGGCUGUAGUUUUUCCUAUGCAAGUUCAUCAAUCUUUAAUAAUAAUAAUUCAUCAAGUUUUAAUCCAUCUCAUCGACACAUCCAUCCAUCCAUACCAUCACACACAUCUCACCACACUCUCACUCUCUAGGCGGCAAGUACGACUCCCGCUCGUGCCUUGCCUCAACGGCCAACGCCGGAUCCAACGCAAACCCACGGGAAGGUAGAAACGACUCCUCUCUCUUGUCAAGUGAAGCUGUACUUAGGAAAGGUCCAUAGCCGACGAGUCGGCAUAUGUAUCGAUCGAUCAACCAAACUCUUCAGAGGUUUACAUUAACCACAAGAUCACCAUCAUCGACGGUGGCCCCCGUCUAGGCUGAUUCCGAGCUGCCUCCCAACUAAAUACGAUGCCACCCUACCACUCAGAACUGGGGCCAUACCGGAGUACCACCGGCAUGCUGAGACUGUGAGGCGUAGUAUCGGGCCCCAAAGGUCACUACGCUGUCUUAGGAGGGUGUGGGUCCUCAUGCCCGUACCUCCCUACACUAUCUGCUAUCAACCUAGUAGUAGUGGCACCGCACUAGCUGGUCGUACAUCCGUCCCGCACCAUAAUAAGGCGAGUGGCGUGUAAGGCUUCCUAAGACCCGGUCCACAGAACAUCUCAGUCCUUAGGGUGACCAAACAGGACAUCUUCACGAGGGGCCAACCGAUGCCCCGCUUGACGGGACAUCCGGCUACCCCGUGCUAAACAGCACCUCCCAUCCCGACGCUUCGUCCCACGAAGACACUCCACUCCGGGACCUCUCCCUGUCACAUGUACCCGCCAUAGGUAUCUCACAUGGAGAAUGCCCAGGUAGCGUCCCCCGGCAAGACUUGUCCCAAGACUCGUCGUAGAUCCUGUUCGGUCGACUCAACCCUCACCACACACCCAAGACACACGCCAAGAUCUCCCCAAAUCCUUUACCAUCUCAUUAUCCAGUUAUUGGCACCACGUGCCUUAUCCACUCACAUCCAAUCUCCCACAUUGCAUCACAUCACAGAUAUAAUGCGUAGUAGAAGCAGUAGCAAGUAGUAUGCAAGCAUCUAACCUGACAGCGGGUGUGCGAGGGUUAUAGGUUGCAACAAGGCAAUGGCUCACAAGCAUUUCUAUCAUGCAACCUAUCUCAGUUCAUUUGCAUAAAAGUAAAGCACUAGCAUCUACAUUAUUGCAUGUCUAAUAGGAUUCUACGAGGUUGGGUGGGACGUGGCACCUGUCGAAUGACAUUUCCCAGAUAAACAGUUCGCUUGUAGUUGUACUCAUCCAAGAUCCUUCUUUCCGCAUGUCUUUUCUUCAACGAGUCCCGAUCCGAUCAACGCUAACCUCGAAGCGACUACCUCGAAAGCGACAAACAAGGCGAAACAAUCAGACCGCUAGACCUAGAAAGACUGCAAAAAGAGGCAACAAAACACUUAAGAACAACUACACUAAGAGAGCACCGAAAUGAUAACAACUUGGCCCUCUCAGCGGAUGUCUGAUCCCUGGGCUAAAUAGGAAUGGCUGUUCACUAAGUACAAGUCAGAGUCUUAGCCUAGCCGAUGCUUCCCGGGUCAACUAAGUCAACCUUUACGACUUUAAUAAAUGGCUUAGACUCUAACUCAUUCUAAGCAAACACCACGGCUUACGGUCUUCCGAUCCAAGUGUCAUAGAGAUCGACGGGAAUCGAAAAGACUAUGAGCACGAGAAGUUCCGGUCUCUCUCAAUCCAUACGCCAUUGUAGUUGGCGAGAGCCAAGAGAGGGUGGAACAAAGAGAAAAGAAAAAGGGAGUGGUCUACUUCUUCCCAUCCACUCGCCAUGGUAAGAGACGGGGAAUUAGAAAGAGUGACACACCAAGAACACGAGUGCUCAAGCUACUUGUAGGGUACCACGACCUAGGUACAUUGAAUGCACUAAGACAUUCCUAGGGUUCUUAGCAGUGCGGUUGUCACCACGAGAACCAAAGAAAUGCAAUGGUCGAAUAGGUACAAGCAUACAAGUGUUUAAGCACAAAGAACCAAAAAGGCGGGAAAAGACACGGGUUUCACUUUCCAUUGACCCACUUGCCAUAGCAACGGCGGAAAUCACGGAAUUGGAAACAAAACAUCAAACAAGCAAAAGGACUCAAUCCGCAUCUUACUGGAUUGACGGGGAUUGAGAUCAAGAGAGAAGAACGAAAUCACACUCUUCCAACCAACAUGCCAUAGAAUGAAAAACGGUUGGUUAAAAGAGAUACGACCCCACAAUCUACUCCAACUCAUAACACUUCAUGACCUAGGUGCUUCUGCGGCACAAGGUCAUUCCUAUAGUUCCAGACGAUGCGGUUGUCAUCACGGGAACAAGGGGAAAUGUCCGGGUCUAGGUGGCAUAAGCAUACGAGACGGAAUAAAUAAACAGGCGAGAAAAUAGGAUAAGCUCGAUGGCCAUGGCGAGGCGACUUGCAGCCAUAGGCUUCACCUAACAAGUUGGCUUUCGACUGUUCUACAAAGGUUGCUCCUAAUCUGUAUCCCACUAGACUAGAUCACAGAGGUCUCGAGUGUGCGGGUAAGAACCGCGUCGAUAAAGACAUCGAGUCCACGAUGACCACGUCUGCGAGACAAGAACAAGAGCUAACGACUGUAGCGCGACAGAGUCAACUGAACACGGGAAACGAGUUACGCUCGGCAUCACGAUCACGGCGGGACGAACCCACGAUCGAAAUGAUCAAGUGCACUACCACUUCCCCGACCGGCUUGAAGGCCCAGUCCUCAGGCAAAUAACAAAAGAAAGAAUGAUGACAACCUGAGAGGAGGGAUAUGCUUGGCACUACGACCAUGGCGAGACAAACUCGCGAUCGCAACAUUCAAACACAUCAUUCUCUCAACCGGCUCGAAGGCACGGUUCACAACCAACUAACCACACCACACAAGAACCAACACACAAAGAACCACAAUGUCGCGACAAACACAAGACAAAAUAGAGUAGCACAUUUCCAUGACGUCCAACAGAGAUAGAUAAACAGAUAGAUAAUAGACCGGCAUGAAGGCACGACAAAGGCAUAGAAUAAAUAGAUCAUGUGAAAGGCGUACGACAUGUAUGAACGAUGAUAGAAAGAUGUACAAAAGCAAAAGGGGUUUUUUUGUCGGCGUCGACUAGGGUUCGACCUUGGUGGCGUGGAUGGCAGAGGGCUUCUAUAGCUUGGUCGUGGCUCGGCAAUGGCGGAGCUAGAGGAGAAGGCUUGGGGUUCGGCAACACUUCACAAGUUUGGCGCUCGGACAGCAGUGAUGUCUUAAGUCCAGCGGCUCCGACAAGUGGCAUAGCAUGGCUGCAGCAUCCCUGCACAGUGAAGAACACGGCACGAAGGCCAGUCUCAGCGAGGCAAAAUAGGAAGUUAACAAGUAGGGCACUUGCACACUGGUGGCUCACCGGCGACAGAGACAGACUUGGUGAGGGCACGUCGAGGCGAGGGCGAGGUAGCAGGGUGACCGUGGUCACCGCAUCCAGCGUCGCACGGCCAGGGUGACGACGUCGCGGCCCCAAGGGAGGUACGACAUCAGCGUGGAUGCAGCAAGGCCAUGGCCUUGGGCUUGGGGGCGAGGCAUGGCGAGGAGGUGCUGGUGGCUCGGUAGGGGUCAGGGCAGAGCACGACAUCGUCGUGGUGGCGCAGACCGGCAUCGGGGUCGGGGUCGCUGGUGCGUCGGGGCGAGGGCGAGGCCGACACGGCGCGGCCGCGGGUUGCGGACGACGGCGUCGCGAGGUCGGGGCUCGGCGCGGCGAGGGUGUGGAGGCGGCUCACGGGCUCCGGGGGCGAGCCGAGGUGCGGGCGAGGUUGGGGUCGAGGCACUUGGCACGGCACGGUCGUGGUUGUGGCGUCGUGCUCCAGCGGGCGUGCGGAGCUCUUGCUCGGCGUCGAGGUCGUGGCGAGGUCGAAGACGCGGAGGGGCGCCGUGCUCGUGGUGCUGGCCGUGACGCGGCCACGCCGAGGUCCCGGUCGCGGGCGUGGCCUGCUGCUGCCCGCGGUCGUCGUCGUGGCGGCUUCGGCGGUGUGGCAGAGCAGCAGCGGGGCGAGGACGACACGGCGCUCACCGGCGUCCAUGCCAUGGAGGCAGAGGCAGCGAUGCGGGUGCCGGGGCGCGGUGUGUGCUCUUCUGGCGACGGCGUCGGUGCUCCUGGGAGCCAGGGGGCGUGGGCGCACCAGCAGUGGCGGCGGCUCGGGAAGGGAGGAGAGCGGCGGCUCGGGCUUUUAUACGCGUCGUGGCCUAGGGUUCCAGGGGUGCUAGGCGCUGCGGGCGGUGAUCCUCGGCGUCCGUGCCGUUGGGCAGGCCACGUGGCGCACAUCUAGCAGCAGCACGGGAGCCCAGGGCACGAGCGCGGCGCUGCAGGGGCGCGGCGGCGGGGCUCAGGAGGAGCAGGGGCGCGCUCUCCCUAGGGUUCGGGUGCCGGGGCGUCACUCCUGGGCCAAGCGCGGCUGGGCCCAGUUCUGGGCCGGGGUAGGUAGAUGGGCCGUGCGCAGGGGGCAGAGGGGGAAGGUGGGCCAGGCUGGGAGGAGAAGCCGACUAGGCCGUAGUGCACGGGAUGGGCCUGGGGUGCGCGGCUCUGGGCCUGGCAGGCCUCCAGCUGGGCUAAGGGGAAGGGGAGGGCGCCAGUUGGGCCAAGGGAAGGAGGCAGUGGGGGGGCUGGGCUAGUCAUUGCGAGCUGGGCCGAGGAGAGGAGGCAGGGGAGCUGGGCCGAUGGGGGUUGGCGAGGCCGAGGCCUGGCUGGGCUAGGAGAAGAAGUGGGAGGAAGAGGAAAGGUUUUGGCCCAAGAGAGAAAGAAUGCUUUCCCAAAUAUGACAAAGGAUUUUAAGGUUUAUUCAAAUGGAUAUUUGAAAUGAAUUCAGAGGAUUAUGUGAGAGAGAUUCAAGGAGAGAUUUGAAGGGGUUCAAGAGAGGAACCAAGCAGGCGAGAAAGAUCAUGAAGGGUUAGAAGGAGUUCGAAAGGAAUUGAAAGGAGUUUGAGACGUACUCCAACGAGAAGGUUGAGAAAGGAUUCGCUAUGGAUUUGUGCACUCCAAAGAAACUCAAAACCCUAAAUAAGACUAAACACUAAACCGACUCACGAACAAAGCACUUGCCUACAAGCAAUUCUAUAUGGAUGCAACGAUUUGUUAGCGGGUUAGGAUCGAUUUUUCACCUAGAAACUAUAUGAUUCACACAAUUCUAGGAAAAAUUUUAAAAAGCUCGUAUUUUUGGUUUACGCAAAAUUCUGGGAUGUUACACCAGGUUGUCGAAUGGGCGAACUGGUCGACCAGUCCCCGAGCAUAUCUUGCUCGGUGGUCCAUUAUAGUCCCCAGGUUGUCGAAUGGGCGAACUGGUCGACCAGUCCCCGAGCAUAUCAUGCUCGGUGGUCGGUACAGUCCCCAGGUAUAUCAUGUUCAUCUGACUAAAGAUCCUACAUAUUUUUUGAAAAAAUCGUAUCGCCAUAUUAAUGUGCGAUGUGACGGAGCGUCCUGCCAUCUUGUCAGUCUACUGCAUAAAAAGGGGGGCCUGCGAACUGUACAUCCGCUCAUUGCGGGGAUCAAGAAAGGAAACCAGCAAUUAUUAAAAAAUGGCCACCAAAUUUACUGUGAUAGCUCUUGAAAACCGAAAAGACCGCCCACUUCCCCAUAAUGCGGGAAGUGGUAGAGGUGGGGCUGUUGUUAUAAAAGAGCCCAAGGUCGCACCAUUGUUCUGUACCCAGCAGUCGCGCACAAGUAUCCAUACUUCAUCUUCAUCAGCACCUUCAAUCCCUCAAAUCCGGGUUCAAAGCUUUCCGCAAGAAGGAAAUGGCAAAGAGCGACGCGAAGAAGAGGGCCGAGAUGAUGGCCAAGGAGUUGAAGAAGUCUCGGAGCAACACGAGGUCCCUCAAUGACCUCGUCGAGAUGGGGCUCCUGCGCAAUCAGGAGCUCGGCGGAUGGAGAGCACCAGAAGGGGAGAGUUACCAAGACCCAACCAGGAUGCACCGGGAUAACUUGGAAAAAUCAGAGAUCUAGCGGCGGAUGAACGAGUUAUUCAACCUAGCUGACAAUUAGCUUCGUUCGAAGUGAUGACCGGAUGCAUGCCUUCAAGCUAGAGCGACCAGCUCCUAAGGUAAAUGAAUACCUUGGUUUAUUUGUAAUGCUAUUGAAUACUGUAUCCUUUGGCUGAUGACUUGUCGUCCUUGUAUCACAGAUAGGAGAUAUUGACCGGUGCACGGUCUAUGUGUCGCUGGCACCCGGUAUGGACCAACCGACUGUGGUAGACCCGCCGGCAGACGAUGUUGCUCGGUGUUUCCAAUACACCAGCAGCUGCGAGGACCAGAGCCGUCUAGCACUGACCACGGAUGACAGAGUGGCCGAGAAGAGGCCAAUGGCUGUGGAGCCAUCCUCUACGAAAGUAAUUCCAGUGGGGACGGCUGUAGAUCCUUCGAUGGGCCAAGGCUCGAGCAGCCAUGCCCCCAAGCAUUGCCGGCUUGUGAGGAUUGUCGACGACGACAACGAAGAGGAUGAGACGGCCCCGUCCUUGGUCCGGAGACCACACAGGCACCCUAACGUCGUGCCGAGCGACGCUGGUCCGGUAACCAGUGACCCGCGUGCUGCACACAUCAAGCCGAUACGUCCUGGAGGAACAGAAGCAGCAGUGGCGGCUGGGCGGACUAGGAGAAGGUUCUUCACGGCGGCGCACCGGAGCUCUGACCUGUAAGUUCGAAAAAGCGUCUCUACACUCUCUUUUCUUUCUUUUUUUUACGAGGUUUCAUGUUGGUAUGAUAAUUUACAUUAACUCUUCUUUAUUAGUGCGGCCUCUGAUGUUGAUCUGGGCAACGUUGCUGGCUUGAGGACAACCGAGCCAGCAGUUGCCGAUGAUAAUGCCACCGAGCAGACUGUCCGCGAGCAGCCUGUGGAGCAGCCCGCAGUUGCGGCUACGACAGAGGUUGCCGAGGAGGACCUAGCCCAAGACAAGGCCGGGGCAAGCACCCCAACAAGGGGCAACGAGACCGCGGGGACUCCUCCCCCGAGCAGUGCAGUAGAGGAGGCGGACAAGGUUCCAUCCCCUGCUCCGGCUGAAGAAGAGAGGGCCCCGACUCCGACCCCAGCCGAGGCUUCCACGCUGGAGGGCUCUCCUAGUCGAGGUAAGGGUCCUAUGAUACCCGUUACCAUGGUUGAGGGUGGCGCAGAAGGCGAGGAGGCCCAGGCGGCCUCCGAUGAUGAAGUAGAGGAGAUCCAGGGGCGUCCCCGCGAUGGUAGCCAACACAUUUAUGUGUGGCGCCAGCGCGGGGAUCACUGGGUCGGCCACGAGGAGAUCGUCGAGACUGAGGAGGCGGAGAGGGUGGAGCGCGCUGCUAAGCGGCUCAUCAAUGAAGUUAGGGUAAGUGUCCUUAUGAUCUGCUGAAGUAUAUGUAUAUAUGUACCAUGGUUUGUUCACUGUGUGGUAUGUUUGAUGUCCAUAGGAUGCAAUGAAAAUGGCGAAGUACAGAAAAAGGUGCUUCGACCAAAUCGAGGGUGUGGUCGCCGAGAACAAGGCCUUGACUGCAGAGGUGGACCGCCUUCGUCUGGAGGCCGAAAGGGAGGCGGCCGAGAAGGUGGCUCAGGAUGAUCGUCUGCUAGACCUGACUCGGUGACUAGCCGAUAAGGACCGUGAGAAAAGGGGUAAGUCGAGUGAUCUGAGCAGUUGCAAUUAACCGCGUGGUCGGUUUUGAUGACCAACAAUUAUUGCUUCAGGUCUGGAGGAGGAGAUCGAGCGUCUCUGAAAAGAGAGGGACCAGCUCGACCAAGAGCGUGCCAGUGCCCGGGAAAUCGAGCGCAAUGUUGGCGAGUAGCUGAAGACCAGGAGUCGAGUGCUGGCUUGUAAGAGCUGUUUUGUCCUUUUCGACCACACAGUUCUCUCACUUUUUUAUAUUGCCGUAGCAUGUUGCUGACUGUGUGCUUGGUUUUUCUUGAAAACUUUGUCAUAGUGCUUAAAGCCAACACUAAGAAGCACCUUGAUGAGCUGGUCAAGGAACGGGACUCCUGGAAGAUGAACUACAUCAAGCUCUAGAAAGGAGUUGCCCCAGUACUGGACCUGAUCAGCCCCGAGCUCCUCGAGGACCAGCCCCGCACACCGAAACUUACCCCGGUCGAGAAGGCGCAGCAAGCGUGGGGCUGGCUUUAGCAGUUCAUCAAGGAUGCCGGGGAGUUUGCCGGAGCACACGGCCUCAGCAUGGUACGCGCUCACUACCCCCUGGUCGAUCUGUCCUGGCUAGAGAGGGGAUAUCCAAAGGAGGUUGGUCCGAAGGAGGCAGAUGACCUUCGCAUCGGCCUACUCGACCUAUCGUCGACGGUGAUCGGUGAUAUAAAUCUCUGCGAGACGUCAACCCCCCCGAUCAGCCGGGAUCAGACAUGUCGGCCAAGGAGUUGUCGGGGGCGUCGAUUGCAGGAGAUGGGCGGUCAACGCCUGCGGUCUCGACCAGCCAGGCGCCGGUGGCCCCGAACCCUUCGGCGGGACGAGAGAGCCGUGGGGGUGAUCAGCCCGAGCAGUAGGUUCGUAGAGUAGUCUAUAGGAGUAGUCUAGAAGCCGCCCAGAGGGGUGUUUAUUGUAAACUUUGUAUAUAAAGUAUGUAAUAAAGUCCAAAUUUUGAGAACCAUGGUUUUGAGCGUUGUAAAUAAAUUCACUUGUGUGAUGUAUCACUAAAUCAUGUUGAUUGCCCUUGAGUAGCUUGUCAAGGAAAGUUAUUGUAGCACUUGUUGAGUAUUCUGCAUAUGUAAAAGUAUAUAGCAAAAAAGACAAACUUUAUUAUUAUUCAUCAAAAAAGAUUUACAAGUAAAAUGUACUGAAACUUAGGGAUAGAAGCGUCGUAGUUUGUCUAUGUGCUAGGAGUAGGGUAGGCUUGUUCCAUCUGGGUACGCCAGUCUACAAGAUGUAGGGCGUGUAACUUCAGCGACCAUAAAAGGUCCCUCCCAGGGUGUAGAUAACAUGUGCAUUCCCUCCUGGCUUGUUUUCCAUUUGAGUACCAGAUCAUAGACCACGAAGGAGCGGUCUUUGAUGUUCUUGUUGUGGUAUCGUCUAAUGGCCUCGAGAUACUUUGCUGUUCGAAGGCAAGAAGUCAGGCGUCUCUCUUCUGUAUAGUUGAUUUCGAGUUCUCUGGCGAGGUCUACAGAAGACUGGUCGAAAUGUUCGACUCGUGGAGAUCCAAAGGCUACGUCCGAGGGGAGCACUACCUCGGCCCCAUAAACCAUAAAAUAGGGGGAUAAACCCGUGUUCCGACUAGGCUGUGUUCGAAGACCCCAGACCACUGCCGGUAACUCUUUCAUCCAACGCCCUGGUGCCCUGUCAUUUUCCAUGUACAGCCUUUUCUUUAGAGCAUCAAUAAUCAUUCCAUUUGCUCGCUCGACUUGACCGUUGGCUCGCGGAUGUGAUACCAACACAUACUUUAUGACUAUGCCUCUGUCAUCACAGAAGUGCCAGAAUGUAGUGCCGGUGAACUGAGUGCCCAGGUCGGUGAUUAUGCUAUUGGGAACCCCAAAUCUAUGUAUGAUUUGAUUGAGGAAUUCCACAGCCUUCUCGGAAGUCGCUUUGACCAGUGGCAUGUACUCGAUCCACUUUGAGAACUUAUCGAUUAGCACGAACACGAAUUUGAAAUUGUCGGGAGCCGGUUUGAAUGGCUCGAUCAUGUCAAGACCCCAACAGGCAAAUGGCCAAGACGACGGAAUCGUCUGGAUGUCAUGAUCAGGUACAUGGGUCCGUUUGGCGAAGAACUGGCAUCCUUCGCAAUGCCAGACUAGUUUCUCGGCGUCGGAGACUGCGGUUGGCCAGUAAAAACCUGCUCAGAAGACCUUUCCGACCAGUGUUCUAGAGGUGACGUGGUUGCCACAGGAUCCAGCAUGUAUGUCAUCUAGUAGCUUGAUGUCAUCGUCUUGAGUUAUGCACUUCAAAAAGACUUCUAAGUUUGCGUUCUUACGCAUAAGUCUACCAUCGACCAGUAUAUAAUUUUUGGAGCGCCGGAUAAGGCGCUCGUUUUCUAUUUUGUCUUGAAAUCCCUAACCGUCCGAGAGAUACUUAACGAAAGGAGCGCUCCAGUCGUUGCCAUUGGUUGUCGGAGCGGUGUUUCCUACGAGCAGCGUCUCGUUGUGUGGCUUGUCGACCAGGUCCGUUCCAACGCUAGGUGUGUGAAUGUCUUGAACAAAGACACCUUGCGGAAUCUGGGCCUCGGAUGAUCCUAUCUUUGACAGUGCAUCUGCUUCUUGAUUCUUGUCUCGGACCACGUGGAUGUAUUCUAUGCCAUAAAAAUUUGAUUCCCAUCUUCGGAUUUCUUUGUAGUACAGGUCCAUUAUCUCAUGGGUCGUGUCCCACUCCUUAUUUAACUGGUUAAUGAACAGAGCGGAGUCGCCAUAGACAUAAAGGCGCUUGACUCCUAGUUCGACGGCCAAUCGGAUGCCGUGCAGGCAUGCUUCGUACUCAGCGACAUUGUUGGAUGCCGGGAAGAGGAUCCUAAGGACGUAGCGUAGUUUGUCCUUGUUUGGUGAAAUGAAAAGGAUGCCAGCACCAGCGCCAUUGAUGUUUAAAGACCCGUCAAAGAACAUUGACCAGUGAUCGAAGACAUCUGGGGAGGGUGGUGCGUUGAGAUCCGUCCAUUCUGCGAUGAAGUUGACCAGGGCUUGAGACUUGACGGUUGUUCGACCCUGGAAAUCUAAUGAAAAUGGACAUAACUCCAUGGCCCAUUUAACAAUCCUGUCGUUGGCGUCCUUGUUGUGCAGGAUGUCCCCCAACAGGAAACUUGUGGUAACUAAGACGCGAUGGCCAUUGAAGUAGUGCUUCAGCUUCCUUGAAGUAAUUAAGAUGGCGUAGAUUAAUUUUUGUAUCUGGGGAUACCUAGUCUUAGACUCAUUUAAUAGUUUAUGAAGUAUACUAGUCUCUGAACUUUGUAGACGUGGCCUGGUUCAUCCCUCUCGACCACGAGCACCGUGGAAACGACCCGAUCAGUUGCUGCUAUAUAAAGGAGCAGGUCCUUGUUAGGUUGAGGUGCGGUGAGGACGGGUGGUGAGGUGAGGAAAGCUUUGAGCUGGGUGAACGCAGCGUUGACCUCUUCUGUCCAGGAGAAUUUUUCCGAUGCUUUUACAAGUCUGAAGAAGGGAAGCCCUUUUUCCCCCAGCCUAGAGAUAAACCGGCUGAGAGCAGCCAUGCACCCCUUGAGCUUUUGAACGUCUUUGACAUUCCUGGGUGGUCGCAUAUGGAGCACCGCCUUGACUUUUGAGGGAUGUGGCCGUAUGUGUUGAUGGUCCUUAAGUACCAAAUAUAGUCAUCAAAUAAAUAAAGAAAAGGAUCCAAAUGCAACCAACACCCAGACUUAGGGUUGUAUCUGACAGAAUUCCAUAAGUUUUGGUGUUUGUCUAUUUCUACAGGGGGUUAUCAAAAAAAUAUGGAGGAAAGGCCCACACGUCGGGUUUACAUAGAGAUAUUAACGUGCUGCGUAAUUUUCUAUCAUCUAGAAGAGUCCAGAAGCCACGGGAACGAACGGGAGGCCGAACGGGCCCGGGGGCAGGGCGCCCGCCCUCCCCCCUUGGUCGCCCGCCCUGGUACAAGCACCAAUCACAGAAUGGAGUACACCAUUACAAAGAUCUCAUCGAGCUGAUCGAAUUGCAUAUAUUAUUUGCUAUAUUUGGAGUUCAGAAUCAAGAUAUAUUAAUAAAAGAAGGACUCCACAUAAAAGAGCUGCAGGAUUAAUUGGGCCCAAAUCAGAUUUUGGUCCAUUAAGGCCUAUGUGCAUUUUAAUGAGAUAAGGUGGAAAGUUUAGUACCACAUCGCCUGCUGAACCAAAAAGGCACAAAGGAGGAGGCUAUAUAAGCAAGGCACCUGGCCCCUAGAGGAGAACACAUCAUUAUAGAGUUGAGAGGUGACCUCGAAGGAUAACCUUUCCUCUAUAUAGAAUUAGGGCUUAGCAUCCAAUGUGAGAUUUGAAUUAGUUUUCUAAGUUCUUCUAGAUUGAGAGAGAUAGAGUGGAGGUGUAGAUCAGAGGAAGCCCGACCUGUCGGUGUCUACUCUGAGGUUGUACCUACGGGAUCAAGUCUCCUAACCCGAGGCUUGCUCCUUGGAUUCUUCAGUAUUUCAACUUCUAAAUUCUAGUAAGUUCUUAUUCUUAUUGUUCUUUGGUUUAUGAGUUUACUUUAAUCUCUUCCCGUUGAGUUUAGAGUAAUCAUUGCUAGCAUAAACGUGGUGUUUGGGCUAGGGUACUCAUAGAUAUCCCCUGUCUAGCCAGACCGUGGUAGUAGCGAGGAACGUGACAUUUCCGAGUUACCGUUGUAGCCCACAUCCCGUUAGAAGGAUCGAUAGGGAUUAUAGGUGCGGGUCGAACAUCCUUUGUGGUGUCUAGAUUCCGUAAGCCUCCCCAAUAGAAUAGUAGAUCAUCCUUACCAAGGUUAGAACGAGAUUACGGUUGUAGUCUUCUCUAUACAUCGCUCACAUCGAAUCACAUUGUUUGUAGCAUAAAGGGUAGUAGCAAUAGAUUUGGUUAGUCAGAUGCACGCUUUCUCCCAGUGGUAAAAAUAUAAAUAUGAUGCUCUGGAUAACCUUCCGGGUGAAGUGCUCACCGAUAUUCGUGCACUUGCGGAUCAUUUCCCGAUGGCGUUACCAAAUAUCAACAAGCAUUUCUGGUGCCGGGGAGAAAGACGGUUUGCUGAGAUAACUUUAAGUCUUGCUAUUAUCUUGUAUUAUACUUUUAUUCUUUUAUCUUUUUAUUUUUUCCAUCUUUAUGGAUAAGUCAAAUUCCACACCUAUUAUUGAAUUUUUUACACCUUCGAAGACCAGCUAUAGACCAUGGGAGUCAACGAGUCCUUUCGUUGCCCGUAAUUAUGAUCUGUGUGCGGAGUUGAUUGCAAUAGGUCAAAACCAACCCUUUUCUAUAGCCGAGUUCCUAUCUUUUAAUCAAUAAGAUAAUGAACUUUUAGCUACACAUAGGGAAUCUUUUAAUCUUUCUAUAAAUUCUAGUUUAGACCUAGCCCUAUGAGACCAUGUUUUUCCUCGAUAUUUUCAGAUUGGUCUUAAUCAUAUAACCUUUGGUAGAGUUUUUCUUUCUUUAUUUGUUAGUAAAGCAAGGUAUGUCUUCAUUCGUGGACAUCCUUCUUGCACUAGACUUCAUAAAAAAUCCUAGAGAUAGAGAAGGAAUCAUCUCCCAGACGAGGAAAGAAAGUUUCAAUAGCCGAUUUCCAAACAUUUCAAUCCCAUGAUUCGGCUAUCCAACCCAAACUAGUAGUGCUCCAAAAUCAUCUAAGGGAAGAAGAAAUUCUACCUUUGGAAAUUCAUUUUGGGAUGAGCUUAAACUUCCUGCUUCAUAAGAGACCUUUGAGUGCAUAUAGUCUGAACCUUCCUAAGAAAGGAUCUCUUAGAAAGCAUCUCAAAUCCAAUCCCUUUGAUGAACAUCUAGAAAGACUCAAGGAUGGCAUCUUAAGUAAUGCAAUAGAAGGAGAGCGAAGCCAUUUAGAAGACAAUCUCAUCUUCUCCCCUUCUAUGCCCACUUUUGAUGACUCAUUUGAACCUAUCUUUAAACCCAUCCUUGAGCUUAAUAAUUUCUACUAUGCUCUUUCUCUUUUACCUCUCGAUGAUCCUAUGAAUCCCUCUAGACAUCCCAUGCAUAAGUGUCACCAAGACCACAAGGAGGAUCGAGAAGAGCAACAUCAAUGGCUGGAGGGCAUUAAAAAUCCAUGUGCUAUCACCAUUGAAAGGAUGGAUAAAACAAACUUGACAGACAAUCCUAGAGGAAUUUUAAGCAUUCAUGAAGAAUCAUCCUUGGGGUUUGAGAAGAGAGAAACAACAGUGAGCAUGGAAGUUAUUUCAUAAAUACCUCACCAAGUCCUUGCUCAUAUAAAACAUCUCCCCAAUCAAUUGGUCCCUCCAACCUUACCACAUAUGAGAUCUCCAGCCCCCUCUUCCUAUCUAUUUAUAAAUACUUUAAAAGGGCGGUUGUCGAUGUAUAUGUCUAUAAUAAAUAUUGCAGAUCUCAUUAUAGGUCAGUGUUGGAGGGGAAACCACUUCACCAACAUAAUUUGAUGGUUUCCCAAGGACAAGCUUAGCGUCCUAAAACAAGCACUUAUCAGAUCGUAACAUGAACUUUUAAUUAUUUACAAUAUUGCCUUGUGUAUUGAGCAUAUAAGGAUAAUUGUAAAAAUAUUCCUUCGGGUAUUCGUGUCACUAACCUUUCUAGGAUUCGAGCAAGAAGAUCCAAGGAAUGAUAAACGCAAGGUAUGCCCAACCAAUCAUCAUGCAACAUUGAAUUAAAUUCAUCCAAUCUUGAAUUUUGCAAAAUUCAAACUUGGGGGAAAUACCUUACAUAAAAACAUCAUUUGCCAUGUUGCUAUGUUGGUUGUCCUUACCUUUGAGACAUGCUCAGUUUGUUAAAUACUAAUCACACUACUUCAUCUCCACUUGAGUAGAUCUCUAUAAAAGCCAUCACGCUACCUUUGUUUAUCCUAGUAAGUGUUGGUUUGGAAGUACUGCACAUACUUCUAUUGGCUUUUAAAUUAAGCAUGGUGCUUAGGUUAAACAGCCUUCCUUAAUUUGAUUAGACAUGGAGUCUAGUUCGGUUAUUGAACUAAAAACUGCUUGAGUAGACAUUGGUAUAUUUUGUUGGACUAACCCCUACAGAAAAAAUCUUUCAAUAUCGAUUUGGGAAGACCUGAGAUAAACUCGCAUCAGAUAUAAAGAGAAAGACACAUGAAGUUUAACAAUUUGCACAAGAAGGACAUAGCUCAUUCAUCAUAGAGAGAUGAUCCAUGGAAUGAGACAAAGUACAUAAACAAGAUACACAACCAUUAUGAAUGAGAAGCUUCCACAAGGUUAUACUGUACCAUCACUCUUCAAGUAAGGUAAUAUCUUAAGGUACUUGACUAUCACUUUUAUAAGCUUCUCCUUGGUUCUGGCGUUCACAUGAAUAAAGAGACAAACAUAAAUUAACCAACCCAAUUAAUUCAACAUGUUUAGUCAUUUAAUCUUUGUUCCUAGUACUACCUCCAUGAUCCUACACUCCUAAUCAUAUGAGCUAAAAUGUUGCACAUUCAAUCUUUGGGAAGAUAUAAAGAAAAAGACAUAUACAUAGAUAGAUUAUCUUUCCAUAAGGUUGAGCGAUCUAAUCUGACAAAUGUUUUAAAUGCUACACUCAUGAACUUAUCACCCAUCAACUUUGUCUUGCUCCCUAUGCUUAAAGAUAGAGGAGAAUAAAUAUACUUUUGGUUCUAUUGGUGUUUUCCACCAACAGGGCCCAUGCACUUGAUCUCUGUCUUGUCUCUAUGAGCAGGUACACUUUGAGCAAAACCUGAAGGAGUUUUACAACUCCCAGAUUCCACCAAGUGAAGGACGUGGAUCUACGAGCACAAACACACUGAGCAAGAUACUGCCGAUGCCGCAGCCCGAACUGCUGGACAAACGAAGAACAUGGGUGACGCCGUAUCAAGAGGUGCAGAUGUCGAGGCCCGCACCUAAUCAAAUGAUGCACCUAAAGGAUGAACACGGUGAGAAGUCUUGUACAGAAGACUUAGAACAUUGGAUCCUUGCCGGAAGAGGUCAAGAUCGUCGACUCAAGUCGCCCUUCCUGAUCAAGAAGGACGACCUUGGUGUUCCAAGCAUCGAGUGCACAAUCAACGGAUACUCUUUUCAGAAGACACUCUACGACAUCGGAUCUGACGUCAACAUAAUGGCCGCAGUCACUUAUCAGCUCCUACAUGGAACCAUGCCCCUACAACCAACAUAUAUUCACCUCCGGAUGAUUUUCAGGUCAUUGACAUGGGAGAAGACGAGUACGAUCCACCCAUCAUCCUUGGAAGACCAUUCCUCAACAAUAUCAAAGUUAUCAUCUAUAUUGGAACCGAAGAAGUCCACAUGCACUUCCCCUCUGAGAAGGUACGCCACUACUUUAAUGAUUCUAACUAUAUAGUUGAAGAUUCUAAGCAGAUUAGGAUGAGAAGAAGGCGACGCAACCGAAACUAGAGGAGGCAAAUCAUCAAGGAUGGAUGGGCAGACUACAAAGGAGAUGUAAUAUGGUCCAAAGAUAUACAUCUUGAACAGGAUUGUCCAGAGGAGACCGUAGCACCAAAUCAGGUAUGGAUAGAGAAGAGAGUUGUACUAGAAGAGGAGGCGCCGCCGGAAUCCUAGGAUGACUGAAAACACAAGGAGUCCUAUUCGGAAGACUUAAAAACACUGAACACCGUGCCAAGAGGUAAACUUGGUAGUUGUCAUUUUCCUUUCGAAUUAUUUAUUUUCCUUGAAUACCUUGUUUAGUUAAUCGGGUUCAUACUAUCUUCAAAAGGAAAAUAAAAAUGCUAAAAAACAGUAAGCCCCAUGUGAGUAUACGAGUGGCGUAAAACCCAUAAGUACAUUCACUGUGGUGGCAUAAAAAUAAAAUAAAUAUUUUUUCUGCUCUAUAAAAAUGAAAAUAUAAAAAUAAGAUUAUGAUCCUACCAAGUUAUAUUUAUUAGGAGGAAUCUCAAUAUGAUAAAGGCUAAGAGAUUUUAUGCUAACACUUAACCAGUUCCACAAAGCUUUGUUGUCUAUUUGACCUCCACAGAAUCCAAGGAUCAAAGAAGACUAGUAGACGGAGGACAUCCUAAUCGCUGUCAGGGUGCUGCCGACAUUCAAAUACACCUCCGCCACCUGCUAGCUACAUCAGAAGAAAUUACGUCAAAAUCCAGCUUGGGGGAGAGCACCCCCAUUUAUCUAGCUAAGUGUUUCUACUCGCGUUUAUACUUUACCCAAAUAAAAAUUUUGUGCUUAUAUAUAUCUUUGCUUAGUUUGCUAAAUAAAUAAAUAAAGUGUCUAGGCCAAAGUGAACUUAAACGAUAAACUCUUACAUGGAUAUGAUAAAUAGUUGCUCUACCAUGUACCUAGUUUUCAAGUUUAAGCUCUCUCUCUCGUUUAGGCAUAACUGUUAUAAUUUAAAUCUGCUCUAAACCUGAACUUAUGGGAAGAGUACUUGAUAUAAAGUCUAAGUUGUUAACGGAUAUGAUAUGGUAAGGUUGAGCUACUGUUUUUCUGUUCCUAGAGAUGCUAGAAUUCUAGAGAAUUUUAUCUUUGAAAAUCUUUAAAAUAACACAUGAUGAGUUCCUGUAUGAUGAGAGUUUAAAUUCCUUCCACACCCAUAUAUACAUGCUUGCUAGACUUUGAGCCACACAUUUACUUUUUACUGCUUAGGAGCAUUGAGUGUGGUCAAGCUGUGUAGACCCUUAGGAGCUUGUCAUGUGGUUAAAAUCAAGAUUCACUUGCACGUUCACUCACACAUGCUACUUCUACUCCGGAAGUACGCAUUCACAUACAUCCACUCACUUCAAUCUCCACAGCCACCCAAAAGUAUUCUACUCCUAAUCCAGGAGAGAAUAGCCAAAAAUAUUUAUGUUUUUCCCUGUGAAAUAAAUGCUCGAGUUAUCUUGGUUACUACCACUUGCUAUAUUAUUUCAGGAGAUGAGUGCUCUAAAAAAAGAGGAUACGAGGAAAUAAAAAGGGGCAAGUGCCCGGAACCUCGAAGAAAAGAAAAAGUAAGACAAGAUGUAAAAAUGGACAAGUGUCCGACAGUAGAAUUAGGAGUACAAGAUACCCACCUAAGAGGAAACAAAAAGAAAAUAUAGAGCAUCUCAUUCUCCUCAAAAAGCUUCAAAGUGCAAGAAAGGUAUGUAUCCUCUUAAAAGAGCAAAAGUAAAAUUAGAUUUUCACCAUUGUUAUCACCAUCAUCACCAUACACCAUUCACUCACCACACAUGCACAUCUUGAUUUGACUUAUUGACUUGUUCUUCUGGAUCCAUGGUUUGACUAUGCAAUAAAUGUCUUGUAAGUAUGUAUUAUCUGUCUCCCACCUAUAAGCUCCAGAUAUCAAAACCUUAUUAGAGUAGGGUGAGAGAGAAGGCAAUACCACUAUGCCUCAUACCAAAAACACCACAUACUUUGAGAGAAGGCAUAUACCAUUGCUGCCUUGGAAAGGAUCCAGAAAUACCACAAACGAGAGAUUUCAGAGAAUCAUAUAAGGAAUCUCUCAGUUUUAUUUGAAAAUAUGCAAAAACUCUAGAGCUAUAGCUGAUCAAGAACAAGAGACAUGGCGCUUGACUAGACUAUUCUAUCUUUUAACUGCUGAAGACAAAAGUGAUGGUUGCAAGCCCCAUGGUGAAAGGUAAAAUGAGUAAGUUUUAAGUCUUAACAGUUUACUCUAACUCAGAGAUGAGAUCUUGCUUGAACGCAUGUGUACUUUUAAGACAUGAAACCACUGCAGAAACUCUUGAGUUCAUCCUUGCUCAGGGACGAGCAAGAGGUAAGCUUAGGGGAGUUGUUGACGGUCCUUAUGUACCAAAUAUAAUCAUCAAAUAAAUAAAGAAAAGGAUCCAAAUGCAACCAACACCCAGACUUAGGGUUGUAUCUGACAGAAUUCCAUGAGUUUUGAUGUUUGUCUAUUUCUGUAGGGGGUUAUCAGGAAAUAUGGAGGAAAGGCCCACACGUCAGGUUUACAUAGAGAUAUUAACGUGCUGCGCAAUUUUCUAUAAUCUAGAAGAGUCCAGAAGCCACGGGAACGAACGGGAGGCCGAACGGGCCCGGGGGCACGGCGCCCGCCCUCCCCCCUUGGGCGCCCGCCCUGGUACAAGCACCAAUCACAGAAUGGAGUACACCAUUACAAAGAUCUCGUCGAGCUGAUCGAAAUGCAUAUAUUAUUUGCUAUAUUUGGAGUUCGGAAUCAAGAGAUAUUAAUAAAAGAAAGACUCCACAUAAAAGAGCUGCGGGAUUAAUUGGGCCCAAAUCAAAUUUUGGUCGAUUAAGGCCUUUGUGCAUUUUAAUGAGAUAUGGUGGAAAGUUUAGUACCACAUCACCUGCUGAACCAAAAAUGCACAAAGGAGGAGGCUAUAUAAGCAAGACCCCUGGCCCCUGGAGGAGAACACAUCAUUAUAGAGUUGAGAGGUGCCCUCGAAGGAUAACCUUUCCUCUACAUAGAAUUAGGGCUUAGCAUCCAAUGUGAGAUUAGAAUUAGUUCUUCUAAGUUCUUCUAGAUUGAGAGAGAUAGAGUGGAGGUCUAGAUCGGAGGAAGCCCGGCCUGUCGGUGUCUCCUCCGAGGUUGUAUCUGCGGGAUCAAGUCUCAUAACCCGAGGCUUGCUCCUAGGAUUCUUCAGUAUUUCGACUUCUAAAUUCUAGUAAGUUGUUGUUCUUAUUGUUCUUUAGUUUAUGAGUUUACUUUAAUCUCUUCCGGUUGAGUUUAGAGUAAUCAUUGCUAGCGUAAACAUGGUGUUUGGGCUAGUGUACUCAUAGAUAUCCCCUGUCUAGCCGGACCGUGGUAGUAGCGAGGAACGUGACAUUUCCGAGUUACCUUUGUAGCCCACAUCCCGUUAGAAGGAUCGAUAGGGUUUAUAUGUGCGGGUCGAACAUCCUUUAUGGUGUCAAGAUUCCGUAAGCCUCCCCAAUAGAACAGUAGAUCAUCCUUACCAAGGUUAGAACGAGAUUACGGUUGUAGUCUUCUCUAUACAUCGCUCACAUCGAAUCACAUUGUUUGUAGCCUAAAGGGUAGUAGCAAUAGAUUUGGUUAGUCAGAUGCACGCUUUCUCCCAGUGGUAAAAAUAUAAAUACAAUACUCUGGAUAACCUCCCGGGUGAAGGGCUUAUCAAUAUCCGUGCGCUUAUAGAUCAUUUCCUGAGGGUGUUACCAAAUAUCAACAGUAUGCCUUCACGGCUGACGACGUUGCCGAGCAGUAUAUCAGAGGGAACCCCGAAGAUGCAUUUUUGGGGUUAAGCUUCCACUUGUAUUUAUUCAGCGCUUUAAAAGUGCGGUCUAAGUUGUCGAUCAGGGUGCCUGCGUCCUGGUUUUGACGACAACGUCGUUGACGUAAGCCUCGACAAGGUCAUCACGUAUCUCGUCAUUGAUAGGUGGCUCCAGUGUUUUUGAGUCCGAAGGACAUGGUGGUGUAGCAAUACGCACCGAAAGGAGUGAUGAAGGAAGUUUUGAUCUGGUCGUCUUCCUUUAGCGAGAUCUGGUGGUAACUAGAGUAACAGUCGAGAAAAGAGAAUUGUUCGCAUCCGGCUGUUGAAUCGACCACCUCGUCGAUAUGGGGGGCCAAAAGGAUUUUUAGGACAGUGUUUAUUGAGAUCAGUGUAAUCAACGCACAUUCUCCAUUGAUUAUUCUUUUUUCUUACAAGGACUGGAUUGGUGAGCCAAUCGGGGUGAUACACUUCUUUAAUAAAUCCGGCUGCCAAAAGCCGUGUAAUCUCUGUCCUAAUAGCCUCCUUUUUGUCACGAGCGAACCGUCGUAGCUUUUGCUUGAUAGGUCUUGUGGUCUUCAAGACGUUUAAGGAGUGCUCGAUCAGGCUUCGUGGGACGCCGGGUAUGUUUGUGGGUUUCCAUGCGAAAACGCUUACGUUGUUCCUUAGAAACCUGACGAGCACGUCUUCCUAUUUGGCGUCCAGGUUGACCCCGAUGAGAGCCGUCUUCUCUGGGCUGCCGUUGACCAGUUGUACUUCCUUGUGCUCUUUGGACUUGGAGCUUUUUCUUGGAGUCUCCUGCUCGAGUAGUUGGAGCUGGUUGGGUGGAACUUGCGUGGCUUGUGCUACAGUUUCUGCCAUGCGAAUUGAGUGAUCAAUUGCCUCGGUGAUCUUGAAGCUUUCCUCUUCGCAAGUGUACAUGGUGUAGACGUUGCCUCUGAUGGUUAAGACGCCCUUCUCGGUUGGCAUCUUGAGGACCAGGUAUGAGUAGUGUGGAACUGCCAUGAACAUUGUAAGCGAAGGACGGCCUAGAAUUGCGUGGUAAGUCCUGUCGAAGUCGGCGACCACAAAGUUGAUGAACUCUAUGCGGAAGUGGUCUGGCGUUCUUCCGAACUAGACGGGCAGCGUUAUCUGGCCGAGGGGUACUUAGCGUCAUACGGUUUUAGCUGCGCCGGAGUUAGCUUGAGAGCAGGCAAGCUAUUGCGGAACAGGAUAUCGAUAGAGCUGCCCCCGUCAACGAGCACGCGCUCGAACCUGACGCUGUUGAUGCACGAGUCUAGAAUCAACGGAAAAUGCUCUGGUUCUGGGAUGGCGGCUCACUAGUCCUGCCUGUUGAAGGAAAUCUCACGGUGCGACCAGGGAGGUAAUUUAGGAUCGGUGAACAAACCAUCGGCGCAGUCCACAUUAAGGCAAGCCCGCUUCAAGAGCUUUCUUUCUCGUUUUGACUCGAUGGAGACUUUGCCUCCAAAGAUGGAGUGUACCCCAUGGUGGGGCUGACAUAUUGGUGCCGUGGGUCCCUAUCCUGGUCAUCGUCCUCGUCUUCCUGACAGCGUCUGUCCUGUUUCCCGUUUUUCUUGGCGGCAUCUCCCUGAGCGGCCUGAUGUGUGUAGAUGCUUUUGAGGACACGGCAUUCUUCCAUCGUGUGGUUGGACUUGGGAUGGAGUUGGCACAGUCCUUUCAACAUUUUAUAGUAGUCUUCCUAGUAGUCACGUCGUCCAUUGGGACGCUUGAUUGUGUUCACCUCGUGAUCGUUGUCGCGAGGUCGCUCGCCUCUAAAAAGUCACGAUUUUCACGACGCCUGUCCCACACUUCUCGGUGGUCGCGGUUGUCGCCGCGGCGGGGAUUCCGGUUAUCGAAACGCCCACGGCUGUCGUCUCGUCGGGGAGGUGGCUCGGCUCCUGUUACGUCUUCUCGGAUAAGCUUUUCUGCGUCGUCGGCAUCGGCGUAGUUUUUGGCCGUAGCGAGGAGCUCGGCGACCGUGGUCGGCCUUUUGCGUAGUAGCUUGCUUCUUAAUGCUUCGUGGAAGCGUAGGCCCUUGAUGAAGGCUGAUAUGGCCUCGUUGUGAGAAAUCUUCGGAAUCUUGAGGCGCAUAUCCGAGAAGCAUCAGAUGUAAUCGCGUAAGGGCUCGUUUUUCCUGUCCCUUAUCCUCUCGAGAUCAUAUUUGUUUCUAGGCUGCUCGCAGGUAGCGAUGAAAUUAUCAAUAAACGCCUGGCGCAAUUCAUCCCAAGAAUCGAAAGAGUCCUCGGGUAGACCGAGGAGCCAUUGUUGGCUAGCUUGGUCGAGGACGACUGGGAAGUAGUUUGCCAUGACGUGCUCGUCCCCUCCUGCUGAUCGGACUACGAUCUCGUAAAGAGUGAUCCAGUUUUCAGGAUUCUCCUUGCCAUCAUACUAUUUAAGCUUCUCGAGCUUGAAGUUGCGGGGCCAUAUGACUUGGCAAAGGUAUGAGGAGAACUGUCUUAGGCCGGGAGGGCCAUGUGUUGCAUCGUACUUGAUGCGUCGCACGUUUUCAUGUACUGCUCUUUCCACAAUGCACUUGUUGAUGCGCUCGCGGACGUCCUUAGGAGGGAUGUUGUGUCAUAGAUCUUAGUCUUGGUUCACCUCCUGACCACGUCCGCAUCUUUGUUUGUGGUAACUGCCAGCGUCCCGACCACAAUUAUCGCGGUGGGUGUCCUUCCUCCGAUUAUUGAUAGGCGAAUGGCUACGAUGAUGUCCGCCGGUUCGCGGUGAGGUGCGGCUGCGAUGAGUCUGGUUAGAGGUGACCUCCAUAUAGGAGACGGUUUGGACCCAUUUGAGCAGAGUGGCGGUCUACCCCAUGGUCGUGAUCAGAUGCGCCCGUAUGUUGGUACGAGCAUCCUGAUAUUCUAGGGUAUCCAGAAGUCGAUCAAGAUUUGCCAUGGCGACGGCCACGUUGGCACUUGGUGUCUUGAACACUUGCUGAUUUCCAACCAUGUCAAAAGCAUCGUCAAGGUUGUUUGGGGUUAAUUGUCGCUGCUCAUCUGCUCGUCGCUGAGCUCGAUCGGCGUUGCGUUGUUCGCGCUAUUGUCUUUGUUUGUCGGUUUCACCGUCAACAACUGGUUCGUCAUUGCUGACAUUGAAAACCAGAUCUCCUCGUCGAGGUGAAAGGACUGCAAAGUGAGAAAAACCCAAGGGGUAAGGUGGUAGAUCCAGGUCGUAGUCUUCGUCAUUGGGGUGUAAAACAUCGGUAGGGACAGAUCCUGUGCUAGAGUUUGUGCAGGUGGCCUUGUCGUCUGGUAGGGUUCGGAUGGAUACCAUGUUGACAAAGUGAUGAUCCGACCUAUUGGUUUGCCCUGGCGACAAUCCCAUCUUCCCGAAUAGAGAAUCGGUAUGCCGUGAAAACUGAUCAGCCGCGUUGUUCAGACCGUGACGGAAGUUCUGGUGUGGCGAGGCUGUCUUGAACUUGAUAGUCCGUCCCGCGGUGGUCGAUGUUAUCGUCAGGGAUGUCUCCAGUCGUUCGUGCGUGGAGACACAAGUUGGUUGACAGGAUUCAAAAAAAUUUGAUGUUGCCGCCUGAUCGGGCCUGCGUGAAAUCGAAUCCACCAAGUUGGAGGCUUCGAGAAGUUUGUGGUCGGCGCGAUCGAGGGCUUGAAGCAGAUCCGAGUUGUCGACUCGCUUUGCCCUGUAGCGAGGGAGCGGAGGUCGGGUCCUCGGAGUCGGCGUGAUCAGAGUCGACGCCUCUGCUGUCCCAGAUUGGAUCUGGGUUUCUUCUGUAGUCGUGGUCGUAAGGCCGCCGUCGUGAGUUGUCCAAGUGAUCUGCCCGACGGUGAACAUGGGACCUUCAGCCACGGCUGCGGAAGCUGGGACAAUGACCAUCUUGUUCGUCUGGGAAGCUGUGUGCACUCCCCCUACCUGGCGCGCCACUGUUGACGAAAGCUAGUCGGCAAUCUACCUUGGGGUAUACCCACGGUAGUAGUUUAUCGGCAGACAGGUGCGCAAGCUACGAACUUGAUGGUGACGCAAGACACGGACAAGGUUUUUAUCCAGGUUCGGCCGCCGUGUGGGCAUAAUACCUACGUCUUGUGUCUGAUUGUAUUGCUGUGGAUUGUGUUGAGUUGAGAUGAGAUGUCCUAGGGGGGUCCCUUGCCUCUCUUUAUAUAGUCCAGAGGGCAGGGUUACAGAUCCGGAAACUAAUCCCAGUCGGUUACAAUUGCCAUAGAUAACACGAUAUCAAUUCCUAUUCUAACCGACUAGAAUCUGGCUUGAUCUCCACGUCUUGUUUCCUUGCGUGAAACUCCGAGCAGUUGGAUCAAGCUUCGAACUCUCUUGUGAUGGGCCAAGUCUCCUGGCCCAAGUCUAGCCGUAAGGGUAUAGGGGUUUAUACCGUCGCAUCCUUCGUCCAGAUCAGGCAUUGCUUAGAGGUCCUAUUCAGUACGGAUGGAUAUACCAGUAGAAAGGCGACUAGGCACAUUGAAGAAUUUUGUAAGGAAUAGGGCUAGGCCGGAAGGUUCAAUUGCUGAGGCUUAUGUUGCAAGUGACACGCUGACAUUUUGUUCUUGGUACAUGGAGGAUGUUGAGACUAAAUUUAACCAAUAUGAUGGUAGUGGAGGAGAUGGGGAGGUGGUUGGUGACGUCUCUAUUUUUAUGCAUGGUGUUACUGUUGUUGGUUCAAAUAGGAUAAUUUGAAAAUGGUCUGCUCAACAAGUUAGUUUGGUAUGUGCUAAAUAACUGUGACAAAGUUGGGCCAUAUUUGCAGUAUGUAUCAUUUUCAAAUUUUGGAAAAUCAUGUUUUUUCAUAAUGAUUUAAUUUUUUCCUGCAGCAUGUACAGAGAAGAGUUAGUAAAGGAAGGAGCACAUGAUGUUGAUAAAAGGCUUGAACAAGGAUUUUGAAAAUGGUUUAGAAGCCAUGUAUGUCACUGCAUCUUGUAUGUUUUUUAGAUUUCCUUCAUGGUUUAGGAGCCAUAUUUAAUUGGUUGAUCCGAUUAAUUUUAUUGCACCCCAGGUCAUGAAGCUAAGCAAGGAGAAGCCAUAGGAUGUUAGUGAAGGAUUGUAUGCUCUUUCAUGUGGGCUAGAUCUUAGAGUGAAGAGUUGUGCAGCUUGCGUUGUUAAUGGAGUGCGAUAUAGCACUAUGGACCGUGAGAAGUACCUACUGACGACAAAAUAGUGGUGUGACGACCGAAGGUGCACAUGAGGGUGAGAACAUUGAUUUUUAUGGUGUCUUGAAGGAGGUAAUUGAGUUGGGAUAUAAUUCCAAUCUUGAAUUUUGUCAUUCGGUGGUUCUAUUUCAAUGUGAUUGGUACAAUCUAUGUGGUAAGUCAAGAGGCAUGCGAGAUGAUGGAUAUUUCAAAUCCAUCAACAUGCAAUCCUUACGGUACAGGUCUGUUCUUUUCAUAUUGGCUACUCAAUCUACAAAUGUAUUUUACUUAGAAGACGCAUCUUUAGGCAAAGAUUGGCAAGUUGUGCAAAAAUUUGAACAUAUGCAUAUUUACGAUGUGGCUGAAAAAGAUGAGCCUAGUCAUCAUGAUGUACAUCAGGAUGAUCAUUGUUCUGAUAGCAAGAAUGUUGUAGAAGAAGGGAAUGUUCAUGAGGUCAUGCACCAUGUUCUGGGUGGAGAAGGCACUAUACUUGAAGGUAAUUUAGUAGAGAAUAGAAGAAACAAGAAGCAACCUUCAAUUCUUAAAGAUAGUGAGGAUAACGAUGAAGACCAAACUGUAAUGCAAUAUUGCAGUGAUGGUGACAAUGACAAGAACGCAGAUGGCAUGUGCCUAGACGAUGACGAUGAAGAUGAUGAUUUGGAGACCUAGAUUCCUGGUGUACUAGUAUGCUACCAUUCUUGAUGUACUAGAUAUUGGUACAACAUUUAUUUGUUUUUAGUGAUUCAAAUCUUCGCUAUUUUCACUAACAUUAAGAUCCAAAAGACCACAUUCAGUUUCAGAUAAACCACAUUCAGAUAAAUCACUAGGACUUGAGUUGCAGUGCUGGGCAUUCCACCAGGCCUUACCAUAAUAUCCAAAAGACUUGAGUUCAGAUAAAUCAUGACUAUACUAGGUGCUGCUAGGUCCUAACAUAUCAUGUAUCUACAUAACUUAAGUGCUGCACAUUCCAGGGCCUACCAUAACUAAAAGAAGACUAAGUCCAAUUUCCAUUACAAGUUAGUUCCAAAAUGUCUUCCUGCUGGCCUUCAGUGCAGGGGUUUCUUCAGCUAUUCCAGAUCGUCCUUGAUUUGCUGGAUGAUCAAGUCCUUGUCCGCUUCUGUUUUCUUCAACGCAUAGAUUCUAACGCCAUUUUUCGAAAAUCAUCACGCCCAACUUCUUCUCCAACUGCUUGACUUUGGCACCCAUCUUCUUCUCCAACUCCUUCACUUUCUUGCAGCAUAUACAGAUCAACUUUACUGAACUUUCUUAAGGUCAACUAAACGACCACAUUCACAAAAUGCACUAGGACUCAACAUUCAAUUUCAUUUAGUUGCAAUAAUCCACACUCAGUUUCAGACAGAACCACAUUCAGAUAGCAGGUAAUGUGCAGGUUCAGAUCACAUAUAUCAUAGGUAAUCUCAGAUGCAGACCAAGACCUAUGACCUUGAAACUGCCUACACCUGUUUGAAAAUGAAUGAGUAGGAAUUUUGGAUAACAGUAUAAGAAAAGAAAGAUGGCAGGCGGCUAACCCUUCAAGUAGUAAGGCAUGCAAUCACUGGAGGGAGCAAACUUAAUAGGAGGAAGGAAGAAUGUAGUAAGACAUACGUGGCUGUGCUAAUUGGAGCUAGGAAAGAUACUAAUUCUAUGUGGUACUGAAAUCCUUAUCAACACCCAAAACUUGAGUCUAAAACAUUGUUGUGCUACUACUGCAGUGCCGUGCUACUACUGCAGUUACUUAUCCUACUAAAGGCAUGGCUAGCUGCUUAAAAAACAUUUCAAGGACACAAACCGUAUUUUCACAUUAGCUCAAAAGUACAGAGAUGCUAUUCAUUCAUUACGAUAGAAACCCUAUUCAUUCAUUUUCUACAACAUUAUGACAGUAACCUGCCAAUCUGAACUCAACCAUGAAAAUACAGAGAUGCUAUUUCAAGACAUGAUAAUAUGGUUUGGGACCUGUGCACAAAAAUUCUGGCUCAAUGCACAAUAAUUUUUAUGCACACUAAAAAUUUUGGGACCUGUGCACCAGCUUAGAACCUGCAAAGUAGUCUCCUAGACAUGCUCUAGUGCUGUCAUGAUCGCUAACAACCACUUUAAGCAUAUCUACACAUUUGCAAAUCGUCUUUUCUCUUUCACAUAGCACUAGGCAAGGGAAUCUUAUAAAAGAACUUUACUUCUUGUCCACACCUAGGAUUUACUUUAGUAGACACUUAAUGCCACAUCAUUUAGAGUGCUAAAGUGCUUAGGGUAGGGGUCAGCCGACCCCUACAUUGGCUAAUCUCUGGAAAAUAGUUCAUAUAUGUUGCAAGAUUCCCUGCCAUGAUUCAAAAUUUUGAAACAUAGUGCUUAUGGGGAGGUCGGCCGACGCCCACAUUGGGGUGUUCACCACUUGCCCUUCUUCCCCUAUAAAUACCCAUGCAUUGUGAGCUCAAUUCCACACCCAAAACCACCAAAAUUAUCUCGAGCUCACAAUCCCUCUUCUCUCUUCUUACUUGCAAGUUAUUUCUCAAGAUUAGAAUAAUUGACCUUAAAAAAACCAAAAAAUAUUUAGUCUUGCAUAGGAGUAGAAGUUGGAAAAAGUUUGGUUGUCUGUGUUGUGCAGGAAAAUGGAGAAAGCAUUCCUCUCCCGAUUCUAGAAGUCCAAAGGGGGUGAGAGUUGUUCUCAAAGCUCUCACCACUCUAAUGAGGGAAGCCAUGAGAGGAUGGAGGAAGGGGAGAGUCACCAUCAAGUGGUGCUCUACGAACCUCCUCCAACAGCAAUGGAGCCUAAAGAAUGAACUCAUAUUAACACCGGAAGAGAUGAUCAAGUUCAACAACCUAAAGGAGAGCGGUUUCCGCCAUACAAGCAUCCUCGACCCGGCCCUUGUGGACUGCACAGGUAUGACUAAAGAAUUCAAUGAUAUUUUAAUACCAUUGGUUUGGGAGGUUUUUGGUGAGUACCUUAAGCUUGGUAUAGAAGUGCUCACUGAAGAAUUUUUAUGCACACUAAAAUUGACUCAUAACAUUUUGCAUGUGUGGGCAAGAGUGUAGUUGUACUUGGGGUCUUCUAACCACUGCUCUAGGUUGUAACUUCGAUUGUACAAUUGACUUAGACACUACCAUGCCUAGGUUUCACAAGAGUAGAUUUUGAUGAUUGCUCCACUCUCUUAACCUCUAAAAUUCACAAUCCAACCUUGUGCUUAAUUUAUUUCUGGAUUACUACCAAUCUUUUUCUUGGUUCUUCUAACUCUCUAAAAGAUGAUGAACUAAAAUAGCUCUAUGCUAUGGUACACAAGAUUGAAAUUUCCCCUGUUAAAUUGAUGAUAAGAUUUUAGCUACCUACCAAUGACCCACCUUGGUCCUGUUGGUGUGUUGCCACCAGCUGGACCCCUACACUUGAUGUUUCCCAUGUCUUUGGAUUUCAGAAUGCUCAAGAAUCCAAGUUUGGGGGGUCAAGUGGCCCCCCAAACUAAGUCUCUGAAUUUCCUGAACACACCAUGACCUAGUACAUGGUGAGGCAAGUUGGCUCGACAAAUUCUACCCAAAGUAGGGGGUCGGCCGACCCCCUCUUUGACGGACAACGGGAACAGAAGCUUGCAAAGGUACAUCAUCAACAAUGGGAAUUCAAAUGGCAGCAAUGGGCAAGCCGAAGUGGGGUCGGCCGACCCCACCUUGGAGCCCUGGACCCACCGUUCAGCAUCCACUCAACGUCUACCUGCCUUCUGUCUCGUUUGCCACUCCAACUCCCCCUCUGUUCUUUGAUUUUUAUUACUUCUGUCUCUUGUUUGCUUUAUUAGAUAAAAUAAAAAAAUAAAAACGAGAAGACUUGGAUCUAUGAUUUAUGACAUUAAAAGGGUAAAAGUGUCACAAAGUCUAAUUCUUUCAUAUGCUUAUACUUGUGGGUCAUAUAUCUUGAUAGGAAUACCAUAAUGACUUGAUUGUUGAGAAUUGUGAUAUAGUUCUUAACUCAUGAUUCAUACCCUUUAUAUUCAAAGUGCUUAGAGAUUUAUUUUUGAAAAUAUCAUAAAACCAUAGUGUCACUUACUCCUCAAUAGUAAGAGAAUUCCUACCACAGCCAUAUAUGUUCAUACCUUGUUCAAAACCCUUCUAUAUAUGCUACUUGUACUUGUGUUGAGUUUAGUCAAACCUUGUGACCCUAGUUGAGAAUUAUGUCAUAGUCCCAAGAUCAAGAUCACAAACACACCACAUAUAUAUGCUGCUUCUACACUGGAAGUACGCAAAAAUAGGCCAUCCAUUUUACCAUAUAGAAGCUCCUUGUUUUAAGGUUUAGAAUAUCUCUCUCAAAUUAUUGUUUAUAAGAUGAGACACAAAGGCUAUGCUUAGUAAAAAAAAGUGGGCACAUGAAGGUCAAUUCCUUUUAAAAAAAAAGAAAAAAAACUAGCCAGGUCUCAAAUAAAAUAGAGAGAGAUCUUAUUAAAUAGAGGAGCAUUCUAUUCUAAUCAUUAUUCACACACUUACACAUCAUGAUCUAGGAUUAUGACAUUCUUCUCCUUGGAUCCUUGUUUUGACUUUACAAUAGAUACAAUACAAGUAUGCUAUCUUGUUUCUCCCUACCUGAGCCCCAUAAGCCUAUUAGAUGUAGCAUGAAACAAAAGAAGGCAAUCUUAUGCUAUGCCUUGGUGAGGAAUCCUAUACUUGCUGAGUGACUUAAGAGUACUAUUAGAGGAGUAAGGAUGAACUAUGUGCUUUCUUUUAAAACAUUUAUCAAAAACUCUAAGUACAAAUGAUAUGAAAAUGGGAAGAUGUCUUUGCUUUGAGAACUGCUCCAUUUUUCAACAUCCUAAGGAUAUAUGUUGGACAGUGCCACAUAACCCACUUGUAUAAGAUAUGUCUUGAGUAGUCUUUGUGUUUACUUAUAUCUUAAAUGUGUCAUAAUCAUAGGUUAUCUUUCUCUAACCUUUUCUCGAGGACAAGCAAAGACUUAUGUGUGGGGGUUCUUGUUGAUGGUAGAUAAGCCCUAUUUUUACCCCAUCAAAACCGUCAACAAUACAUUCUUUUUGGAAGAAAAUCACCAAACCCAUAGUGUCUUAGGUACAAAUAACUUGGUUCCACAUGUACAUGUCAUCAUUUGGAUGCAGGUGUGCAAUCGACUACUUUUCAGGGUUAAGAAGCUCUAUAUGAAGGUUGGACUACCACCCUAGAAUGCCCAAUUGGAAAACCAACUUCACAUUCAUCAAUCUCAUAGCUUCUGGAGACAAUGUGCAAAAGAUGGGCACAUUAGUGGGGUCGGCCGAUCCCACCUUUGUGGGCCUAGCACCACCACUGUGCUCAUAAUGUCACCAGGAAGUCACCUGCAGAAGAUGAACCUUUGGUUCUACCAAAGUGGGAUCAACCGAUCCCACUACGGGGCCAUCCAGCCACCUGGUUUGCACCAACCGACAUGCAUGGAUUCCUUCUAGAAGACAACACCGGUCCCACCUGUCAUUGGGUGGGUCGGCCUACCCUAAGGUUGGGAGCUUCCAAGGUCGGUUGCACCCCACCGACGUCCCCAUGAUGAACAUGUGAUGGAAAUCCCCAACUGUUGAUCAUAUGGCGGUUCCAAGGUCAGUUUAUCCAAUGGUGCAUGCUGGAGGUCACGCAGAUUGCUGACGUGGUAGUGGAGUAGCCCAUACUCCACAUCCUGAUAUAAAUACCCCCUAUAGGCCUUCAUCUCAUAUCAUCUCACACUUCAAGAUCCACUUGUUACAAUGUAGGGUAGUAGUAGUUAGUCUAGUGUGGGAGUUAGAGUUGAGUCGAGCGAAGCUCGGAGUCUCCAGAGUCGUCUUCUAGAGAGUCUAGUAUUCCUCUUUACCUUUUCUCUUGUAAGACUUUGAAUAUUUAAUAUAUUUACUUUUCCUUUACUCUUCUAAGUAUUUACUUUUAGUAUUUGCUUAGUGCAAUAUUCUAUUGUAGUGUCCUAGUCUGUCUUAUAGUAGUUAUAUACUAGCUAAGUUAGUCUUAAGUACUUGGGUUGUUUUCUCUGCCGGUAACACGGUGCUUGGACUAGGUCGUAUACUUAGUCUGAGUAGUAGGAGUUAGCAUAAGCAUGGUGCUUAGACUAAAGCCUACCCUUGAAUACCACCAUAUCAAACGUGAUAGCGGGCGGCGGUGAAGCGUGACAGGCCUCUGCUUGCCAGUACGUUCUAUUCACAUCGGGUACGAUCUGUAGGCGCCCAUAAGAAACGAGUCCGCUUGGAUAGGAGUUUUGUCCUCCUAUUGCAGUCAACUUCCAACAAACAAGUAGUUAAGUUUAGUGAAGUUAGUGUGUGUCAGCUACUAGAUUAGAUUGGUUCACAGGAGUAAAGUUAGAGUCAUAGGAGUCUAUACUCACUCGUUGUCCUCCCACAUAGCAAGCUCUCUACCAUUUAUCUUUAGAUUAGGAUCUGUGUGAGAUCACUUACCUAUUCUUGACCCUUUGGAUGACCUUGAGCCUAGUAAGUUCACUUCACAUUCCCCGUGGAAAAUACAAUACCUAGAAUACUCCCGGUGAAAGCUACAUUAACUAUCGUACGCUUGCGGUAUUUCCGUUUGCCACUUCUAGAGUCAACAGGCUUUCUGGCACUAUUGUAGGGAUGGACUUUUAGUCUAUCUUUUGUGAUGACACUAUGAAUUGCCAACAAUGCAUAUCCAGUACCACAAAGUCUACUGGCACGAACAAGUCUCUUAUCUUGAUAGGAAUAUAUUCGGCAAUGCCCAAAGGAUAUCAGACUGAUUGGUCAGCCAGCUGAAGACACAUUGCUGUUGGCUCAAGUGCAGUGUGAUUAAGCUUGUAGUAGAUGUUGAUGGUCCUUAAGUAUCAAAUUUAACUAUCAAAUAAAUAAAGAAAAGGAUCCAAAUGCAACCGACAUCUAGACUUAGGGUUUUAUCUGACAGAAUUCCACGAGUUUUGGUGUUUGUCUAUUUCUACAGGGGGUUAUCAGGAAUUAUGGAAGAAAGGCCCACACAUCGGGUUUACAUAGAGAUAUUAACAUGCCGCGCAAUUUUCUAUCAUCUAGAAGACUCCAGAAGCCACAGGAAUGAACGGGAAGCCGAGCGGGCUCGGGGGCAGGGCGCCCGCCCAGCUACAGAGUCCAAUUAGGACUCGUUUCGUGGAUUACGCUCCACCGACCUAAAGGAUCAAGAAUAACCGUUCAAUCAAUGUCGGUCUGAUCCGACGGCCCAAAUUCACUUGAGGGGACUAUAUAAGCAGACCCCCUGGCCCCUGGAGGAGGUGCCCCUUGAUCAUUAUUCAUUAUUCCUAGACAGAGCAAAAGCUAGGGUUUGAGAUGAGAGCUCUCCUCUCCUCUAAACUAGAGUAGAUCAUAGUAGCGAGAUGGAGAGUGAGGGUGGAUUGCAGGAGAGCCCGGCCUGUCGGUUCUUCCUCCGGUUGUACUUCGUCAUGAUCAAGCUCUAAUCAAGCUUGCUCAUGGGAUGACUCUGGUAAUCUACUUCUAAUUCAUUAUGCAAUUACUAAUCAUGUAUGUUCUGGUUCACAACUCUUUUGAGUACUUUAAUCUAUAGGACGCUAUAGGUGAGAGUUGUAGUAUAGGUGUAAGCGUGGUGCUCAGACCUAGAUUACUUAUGGAUAUCCCCUGUCUAGCUGGAUCGUGUGGUAGGCCGCGUAGGUGAUAGUUAUGUUGGUCCCCUGUAGUCCACCUCUUGUUAACAGGACGGGUAGGGUUUAUUGGCCUACGGAUAAGCAUCCUUUGUGGUGUAUUCUUAUCACGUGGUUCGUCCCAGACAUAGACAUACCCCUUUGAAGUAGAGAAAUCAUAGUUAUCCUCUCUAUUCUCCUACCAUCGCCCAUAUAUUAGAUUGCUCUACUCUCUAUUCCCAUAUUAUCACCCAUUGUUAUCUUACCUUUAAUAUUGUUAUUAUUUAAUUCUACCAUCUUUCCUAUUUACACCUAUCUAUCUAUCUUGGUUAAGUUAGAGCGUAGUUGGUUCUCCUGUUUCCCUGUGGAUACGAUAAAACCUUUAACUGGGUAAAAGCUACAACGGUAUCUGUGCGCUUGCGGAUUUAUCUGUGUGCGUAUAAAUACCAUAGUACACUCUAGUGCCAUGUUGGGGAUGACAACCUAGUAUUCAAGUGGUGUUAGCAAGUGUGAACAAGCAUUUUUGGCGCCGUUGCCGGGGAGACGGUUGUUGAGUUGACUACGAACUAGCUUAAUCAUUUUCUAAAAAAUAAAAAUAUAUAUAUAUAUUUUUUCCUUUUAUCCUUUGCCUCAUCUCUGCUAUUCUUUCCUCUUAUCUAAUCCUUGAUCUCUGGUCUAUCAUGAAUUCAAACAUGUCUAUCUACGAAUUUCAUAGACCUACUGGCACACAUCUCGAACCACCAAAAUAUUCAAAGCCUAUCAUAGCAUCUAGUUUUGUGAUAGACCCCAAAUACAUAGAAUUUGUUCAAAAACAACCUUUCUCAGGAGAAGGUGAAGAAAACCCAUACACACACCUAAGAGUGUUUUAUCGAGUCUGUGACCUCCUUCGCAUAGAAGGCAUGUCCGAUGAGACCCUUAAAUGGAAGCUCUUUCUGUUCUCUUUAACAGGAAAAGCUAGACAUUGGUAUAAACUCAAAGUAGGGAGUGUUCAUGGAGAUUGGAAGGAGUUACAUAAUAGUUUUCUUUUAAAAUAUUUUCCAAUCUCUAAAGUGGCGGAACUUCGGCGUGAGAUUAUUUCUUUUAGACAACUGGAAGAAGAAUCUCUUGGCAAAUCAUGGGACCACUUUAUUAACCUUAUUCUCACUGGCCCAAAGCUUUCUAUUCCACAAGAAGUUCUUCUAAUUCACUUUUUUGAGGGCCUUAGUAUGGAAAAUAAGCAAACAUUGAAUACAGCCUCCAGAGGAUCUUUCCACCACCUAUCCGCUAGUGAAGCUUGGAAUUUGAUUGACUUAAUGAGCGGAAAGUAUCCUAGCUUUUAUAUCCUUGAGAAAAAGAAAGAACUAGUUCCUAGACAAGAAUAAGAAGUUUCGAUAGCCAGAUCACAACCACUUAAUUCCAAACUUUAGCUAUCGAUCCUAAACCAUCAAUACCCCAAAAUUCUCCAAGGGAGGAAGGAAUUCCAACCUUAAAUCUUUCAGAUACUGAUGGUUUAGACUUCUUGUUCCAUGACAAGCAUAGAUAAUUCAAAUCCUUGCAAUAAUGUUUCUCUUAGAGAAUGUCCUGGUUCCUAUUAUGAAGAAGUCGAGGAUGGCAUGUCAAGUAAUGCCUUAGAAGGAGAGCUAAGCUAUAUGGAAGAUUCUAUCAGCUCCCCUUUCCUGAUCACAAGUUACAAAUGGCUAGAAUGUGUAGAAUGGAUGGAUAAGGAAGAAGCCUUAAUGGAUUCUGAGUUUGGCUCAAUUUCAAAUGGUGAGUUCUUGACUCCCUUCGAAGAUGAGAUUCAUCCAACUACAGAAGAGGACAUAGGAGAAACCAAUCCAGGAGAAAUUCCGAACAUUCAAAUUGGAGACGAAGAUAACAUUAAUGAGCAUGGAAUUUAUUUCAUAGCCACCUCAUUUACUCCAUGCUCAUAUGCAACAUCUUCCCAAUCUAUUGGUCUCCCCAACAUCACCACAUCUGAGAUCUCCAACCCCCUCUUUCUUCCUAUUUAUAAAAACUUUAAAAGGGCAGUUUUCGAUGCAUAUGUCUAUAAUAAAUAUUGCAGAUCUCGUUGAGUUGAUCUUGAUAUACGUCAGUGUUGGAAGGGAAACCACUUCGCCGACAUAAAUUGAUGGUUUCCCAAGGACAAACUUAGUGUCUUAAAAUAAGCACUGAUCAGAUCAUAACAUGAGCUUUUAAUUAUUUACAACAUUACCUUGUGUAUUGAGCAUAUAAGGAUAAUUGUAAAAAUAUUCCUUCGGGUACUCUUGUCACUAACCUUUCCAGGAUUUGAGCAAGAAGAUUGGAUGAAUGACAAGUACAAGGUAUGUCCAACCAAUCAUCAUACAACAUUGAAUUACAUCCAAACUUGGAUUUUGCAAAAUUCAAGCUUGGGGGAGUAAUUUACAUCCUUUGCCAUGUUGCUAUGUUGGUUGUCCCUACCUUUGAGACAUGCUCAAUUUGUUAAAUACUAAUCACACUACUUCAUCUCCACUUGAGUAGAUCUCUAUAAAUGCUCCCAUGCUACCUUUAUGUGCUUUAGUAUAUGUCUAGGUUUGGAGUAGUUCAUUUAUCUCUUAAAUAAGCAUUUUGCUUAGUUUAGGAAUGAUGAUCUUACUUCCAAGGGAUUUUAAAUUAAGCAUGGUGCUUAGGUUAAAAUGCCCUAGGUUGAUUUUUGAUCCGAUAGUAUGCUAUAGUAGAUAUUGGAUAUUUUGUUGGACUAACCCCUGCAGGAAAACUUUCAAUAUCAAACUUGGAAGUCCUGAGAUAAACUCAAAUUGGAGACAAAGAGAGAGACACAUCAAGUUUAACAAUUUACACAAGGAAGACGUAGCUCAUAAGAGAUGAUACAUGGAGGAUGCCACAAACACGAUGCACAACCGCUAUGAAAGGAAAGCUUCCACAAGGUGAUACUGUACCAUCACUCUUCAAGUAAGGUAACAUCUUAAUAUACUUGAUUAUCACUUUUAUAAGCUUCUCCUUGGUUCUAGUGUUCACAUGAAUAAAAGAGACAAACAUGUAUGAUUUAUAACUCCAAAUUAACCAACCCAACUGAUUCAACAUGUUUAGUCCUUUAAUCUUUGCUCCUAGUACUCCCUCCAUGAUCCCACACUCCUAAUCAUAUGAGCUAAAAUGUUACACAUUCAAUCUUUGAGAGAUAUAAAGAAAAAGACAUAUACAUAGAUAGAUUAUCUUUCCACAAGGUUGAGCGAUCUGAUCUGACAAAUGUUAUAAGUACUACACUCAUGAACUUAUCAUCCAUCAACUUUGUCUUGCUCACUAUGCUUAAGGUUAGAGAAGAACAAAUACACUUUUGGUUCUGUUGGUGUUUUCCACCAACAGGACCCAUGCACUUGAUCUCUGCCUUGUCUCUAUGAGCAGGUACACUUCGAGCAAAAUAUGGAGGAGUUUUACAACUCCCAGACUCCACCAAGUGAACAACCUGGAUCUAUGAGCACAAACACACUGAACAAGAUACUACCAACACCGCACUUUGAACUGCUAGGCAAAUGAAGAACAUGGGUGACACCGUAUCAAGAGGUGCAGACGUCAAGGUCCACACCUGAAUCAAAUGACGCACCUAAAGAAUGAACACAGUGAGAAGUCUUGUUCAGAAGACUUAAAACAUUGAACCCUCGCCGAAAGGUAAAAUCGGUAAUUAUCCAUAUUUAUCCUUUCUACAUUCCCUUUUCCCUUUUAUUAUUUACUUUCCUUAAAUAGCUUGUUAAUUAAUCAUGCUAUCUUGAAAAGAAAUUAAAAAUGUUAAAAACAGUAAGCCCCAUGUGAGUAUGCUCGUGGCAUAAAACCCAUAAGUACGUUCACUGUGGUGGCGUAAAAAUAAAAUAAAUAUAUUCCUAUCAUAUAAAAAUGAAAAUAUAAAAAUAAAUUUAUGAUCCUACCAAAGAGAGUAAUAUUUAUUGGAGGAGGCUCAACAUGAUAAAGGCUAGAUAUUUAUGCUAACACUUAACUAGUUCCACAAAGCUUUAUUGUCUAUUUGAGCUCCACAGAAUUCAAGGAUCAAAGAAGACUAGCAGACGGAGGACGUCCUAAUCGCUGUGAGGGUACUGCCGACAUUCAAAUACACCUCCACCACCUGCUAGCUACAUCAGAAGAAAUUACGUCAAAAUCCAGCUUGGGGGAGAGCACCCCCAUUUAUCCAGCUAAGUGUUUCUACUCGCGUUUAUACUUUAGUCAAAUAAUAAAAAGAUGCAUAAUCAGAAAAACUCAAAUAAAGAUUUUUGUGCUUAUAUAUAUCUUUGCUUAGUUUGCUAAAUAAAUAAAUAAAUGAAGUUUGCUAUGAACUCUCAUGAUAAGCUCUCACAUAAAAUGGUCGUUACGCUCCNNNNNNNNNNNNNNNNNNNNNNNNNNNNNNNNNNNNNNNNNNNNNNNNNNNNNNNNNNNNNNNNNNNNNNNNNNNNNNNNNNNNNNNNNNNNNNNNNNNNNNNNNNNNNNNNNNNNNNNNNNNNNNNNNNNNNNNNNNNNNNNNNNNNNNNNNNNNNNNNNNNNNNNNNNNNNNNNNNNNNNNNNNNNNNNNNNNNNNAAAAAUUCACUUGCACGUUCACUAAUACAUGCUGCUUCUACUCCGGAAGUACGCAUCCACAUACAUCCACUCAUUUCCAUCUCCAGAUUCACCCAAAAUUAUUCUACUCCUAUCCAAGAGAGAAUAGCCAAAAACAUUAUCCUAUCCCUGUUAUUCCCCGUGAAAUAAAUGCUCGAGGUAUUUUGGUUACUACCACUUGCUACAUUAUUCUAGGAGGGUGAGUGCUCUGAAAAAAAGAAGAAAGAUACGAGGAAAUAAAAAGGGUCAAGUGCCCGAAACCUCGAAGAAAAGAAAAAGUGAGACGAGAGGUAAAAAUGUACAAGUGUCCGACAGUAGAAUUAGGGGUACAACAUACCCACCUGAGAUGAAAGAAAAAAAAUAAAUAAUAUAGAGCAUCUCAUUCUUCUCAAAAAUCUUCAAAAGAGCAAGAACGGUAUGUAUCCCCUCAAAAGAGCAAAAAGUAGAAUUAGACUUUCACCAUUGUUAUCACCAUACACCAUUCAUUCGCCACACAUACACAUCUUGAUUUGACUUAUUGACUUGUUUCUCUGUAUCCAUGGUUUGACUAUGCAAUAAAUGUCUUAUAAGUAUGUAUUAGCUUUCUCCCACCUAUGAGCUUCAGAUAUCAAAACCGUAUUAGAGUAGGGUGAGAGAGAAGGCAAUGUCACUAUGCCUCAUACUACAUAUACCAUAUGCUUUGAGAGAAGGCAUAUACCAUCACUGCCUUGGUAAGGAUCCAGAAAUACCACAAAAGAGAGAAUUGAGAGAGUCAUACAAGGAAUCUCUGAGUUUUAUUUGAAAACUUGCAAAAACUCCAGAGCUAUAGUUGAUCAAAGAACAAGAGACAUGGUGCUUGACUUGACCGUUCUAUCUAUUAACUGCUCGAGACACAAGUGACGGUUGCAAGCCCCAUGGUGAAACGUAAAAUGAGUAAGUUUUAAGUCUUAACAGUUUACUUUAACUCAGAGAUGAGAUCUUGUUUGAACGCAUGUGUACCUUUAAGGCAUAAAACCACUGUAGAAACUCUUGAGUCCAUCCUUGCUUAGGGACGAGCAAGAGGUAAGCUUGAGGGAGUUGUUGACGGUCCUUAAGUAUCAAAUUUAACUAUAAAAAAAUAAAGAAAAGGAUCCAAAUGCAACCGACAUCCAGACUUAGGGUUUUAUCUGAUAGAAUUCCAUGAGUUUUGGUGUUUGUCUAUUUCUACAGGGGGUUAUCAGGAAUUAUGGAAGAAAGGCCCAGACGUCGGGUUUACAUAGAGAUAUUAACGUGUUGCGCAAUUUUCUAUCAUCUAGAAGACUCCAGAAGCCACAGGAACGAACGGGAAGCCGAGCAGGCUCGGGGGCCGGGCGCCCACCCUCCCCCCUUGGGCGCCCGCCCAGCUACAGAAUCCAAUCAGGACUCGUUUCGUAGAUUAUGCUCCACUGAACUAAUGGAUCAAGAAUAACCGUUCAAUCAAUGUCGGUUUGAUCCGACGGCCCAGAUUCACUUGAGGGGACUAUAUAAGCAGACCCCCUGGCCCCUGGAGGAGGCACCCCUUGAUCAUUAUUCAUUAUUCAUAGACAGAGCAAAAGCUAGGGUUUGGAGAUGAGAGCUCUCCUCUCUUCUCCAAACUAGAGUAGAUCUAGAUAGUAGCGAGAUGGAGAGCGAGGGUGGAUUGGAGGAGAGGCCGGCCUUUCGGUUCUUACUCCGGUUGUACUUCGUCAUGAUCAAGCUCUAAUCGAGCUUGCUCAUGGGAUGACUCUAGUAAUCUACUUCUAAUUCAUUAUGCAAUUACUAAUCAUGUAUGUUCUGGUUCACAACUCUUUAUUGAGUACUUUAAUCUAUAGGACGCUAUAGGUGAGAGUUGUAAUAUAGGUGUAAGCGUGGUGCUUAGACCUAGAUUACUUGUGGAUAUCCCCUGUCUAGCUGGAUCGUGUGGUAGGCCGCGUAGGUGACAGUUACAUUGGUCCCCUGUAGUCCACCUCUUAUUAGCAGGACGGGUAGGGUUUAUCGGCCUAUGGAUAAACAUCCUUUGUGGUGUAUUCUUAUCACGUGGUUCAUCCCACACAUAGACAUGAACCUUUGAAGUAGAGAAAUCAUAGUUAUCCUCUCUAUUCUCCUACCAUCGCCCAUAUAUUAGAUUGCUCUACUCUCUAUUCCCAUAUUAUCACCAAUUGUUAUCUUACCUUUAAUAUUGUUAUUAUUUAAUUCUACCAUCUUUCCUAUUUACACCUAUCUAUCUAUCUUGGUUAAGUUAGAGCGUAGUUGGUUCUCCUGUUUCCCUGUGGAUACGAUAAAACCUUUAACCGGGUAAAAGCUACAAUGGUAUUCGUGCGCUUGCGGAUUUAUCUGUGUGCGUAUAAAUACCAUAGUACACUCUAGUGCCAUGCUGGGGAUGACAACCUAGUAUUCAAGUGGUGUUAGCAAGUGUCAACAGUAGACAGAAGCGGGCAUCACACUGACACUUGCUCCAAGGUCACAGAGUGCAUUGUUGAAAUGUUGAUCUCCAAUUGUGCAUUCGAUAGUCGGACAUCCUGGAUCCAUUUUCUUUUCUGGUAACUUGUUGAGGAUGGCCGCACUAUAUUCUUCUAUGAGCUUGAUUACUUUAGUGGAUUGUAGAGGUCUCUUCUUGUUGAGAAUGUCUCUAAUGUACUUGGCAUAUGUAGGGACCUCUAUGGCAUUUAACAGAGGUAUGUUGAUCUAUAAUUUUUGAAGUACCUCCAUGAACUUACUAAACUGCUCAUCUACUUGUUGUGGUCUUCUAUUCUGACGACGAAAUGGUAGGUAAUUGGUGUCUUGAAAAUCUUGUCUCAUCUCGUGGUCUUGGACCGGUUGUGGUAGUGUGUCUUUAAGAAUGUUGUUCUCAUUGUGCACCAUUGUUCGUAAUGUUGAUGGCAUUGGCAAUGGUCUUUUGGUACCUUUUGGGUAGGGAGGAUCUUUGGUAGAACUUCCUCUUCUUGUAGUGAUAUUCUUUACCUACUCAGGGUUAUUGGCAACAAGCAACGCAGCAGCCAACUGUGCUAUUUUUGCUUCUAUCUUUUUAUUAUACUCAAGUUGGGCAUUAAUGGCAAAUGAGAAACUAUCCAUUUUCAUCAUUAUUAGCAAGCCUAGCUAUAAUGUCUAGGUUGAUUUUAGAUUGCUACAUAAUUAUCUCUCUUAAAGAAGUUGCUUUGUAAAAUUACCUAAAUUCAUACCUUGGCUAUUUUGAUGUUAUCUCCAAGUUGGUUGAUGUGGAAUUUUCCUGAUGGUAGGACUUGUAACAGAACCGCCCAAUUCACAAGAGAUCAACUAUGAAAAACUCCCGCCAAAGCAGUCGCUUUAACAUAAUCGAAUUCUCAUAAACCCGGUAGUCCGUGAAAUCAUGAGGGAUUUCAAUCCAACCAUCUUACAAGCCAUGAUCUUACUCCUCUAAUAUGGUACGAGUCAUCCAACUCUUGCAGUGGCCAUGAUACAUCACAACCUGCAACAAGUGGGAAUAAACCCUGAGUACGAGAAGGUACUAAGCUAGACUUACCCGUCAUAAACUAGAAAUAAUAUGACACCAAGGAGUAUGCAAGGCUUUAUUGGUGGAGCUAGCUUGACAACACUUUUUCCAUAAAAAGCUUAAGUUGUAACUAAGUAACCUUUCAGGUAUUUAGCUCAAGUUAAUAAUCAUUAACCUAUCAUCUAGAUUAGCACCUGUACUAAAGCAAUCACUUGAUUAAGAUACAACCAUAGUACCCAUAUUUGAUGUGGCAUUACCAACAUCAUCAUACCAUAACCAUCCAAGUGUUCCAUAAACAUUACUACGAUGACGAAGCUCAAGUCAAGUGCUCACUGUCCAGGAGCGAUGGCGAUUCGAAUCGAUUUCUAACCAGCUGGCGAGUUUAUUCCCCACACAAACCACACUCACUGAUCAAGUGAGCUAUAGAUCACCGUAUUGCACUAUCCAGGACCAAUUUGCGGGUUCGACAGGCACCGCCCGUACCCGAGGACCGUUCCGACGACCGAGGUAUCCAAGGUAUACCAAGGUUGAGCGCCGCGCCCUCGUCGUUCUCCUCAACCAUCACCAAUGCAGCGCGUACAUCGGGCCGAUUCCCGGCCCGGAUAGUGCUCAGGCUUCACGGUCGGAAUGACUUAUCCUUCCAGCUAAGUGUGGGGCAUGCGUUCAACAUGACAAGAGGGCCGUCAACGAUCGGUCCUUAAUCGACACAGGCGGGGAUAGAUAGGCACCCAAGACCUCCAUGUCUUGUUCCUUCUCUAUCAUCGUCCCGCCCGAUCUGCAAUUACUCAUCCUUUUCAGGUAUCCACCUAUCUCGCUCAGGUGACAGGACAUCACCUGGCUUCUACCGGUCUAAGCAUGACUAAGCAUUUAGAUUCGAUCCCGAAUCUACAUAGGGUUAUAGGUAUAUUUGCUGGACAAGGAGUGAUAUAUGCAGCAAGGGUUUCACCGAACUCCUAUACUUAAUGCAACAAUACAUAUAUAACAUAUAUUCUCAAUUGCAUUCAAAAGUAGUGGGAGACUUAUAAUGCUCGGGGGCUUGCCUGGAAUCAUCACUGAGUUAGUUCAGUUAGUUGCUCCGUCUUGGUGACAUCUAAGGUCACAACACUUGCUUAGUCCUUCCACCUUUAGGGUGGGUCCACCCAACACCGUCUUCGGGUUUGUUCCCACACCAAGACCUUCACGUGAUUCAUCUAGCGCACCUAGAUGAGAUGCAAGUGCGUGAAUAUAAAGAAUAAUAACACAACAUGCAUCACAUAAAAGUAUGCAAGACAUAGGUAUCUAAAGUUAUUUAGCUAACAUCACACAACCAGUUAUAUAGAGCAAACAUAUCAAUCAUGACACAAGUUUAACAAGUUUACAAGUGUAUUACUUAGUCACCAUUAUAGACAUGAAUCAUACUUAGAUCACACAAAGUAUUCAUGUAUUUCAGCAAUUCUGGACAUACAUGCAACAACUCAGUAAAUAAAUCAUAACUGGAGUUACACAACUCCAAAAACUAUGCAAUAGGAUAUUCUGGAAAGAUUAUCAAAUUAUCUACAAUUCAUCUUUAAUCAUAUUAGCAUGAUUAACAAGUUAACCAAGUCAAACAUGCAUGACCAUAUAAUCUGGUCCAGGAACUUCCAGAGAACAGGCAUUUCAAAGGAUGAACUUCAUACUACUGUAACUCAUAAACCACUUAUCUGAAUGAGAUGAAACUUUACCACAAUAUAAAUUAGUGAAUUAUCUACAUCUUUUCUAUAUACAAGUUUCACAGCAAACAUCAUUUAUAUCAUGGAAUUAAUCGCAUAAAUAAAACUGCUCAUGCUGCCAAACAGUAGAGGUACAAUUACACAUAGAAAACUGAUUGGCACUUCAAAGCAGCAUAACUGGAGUUGUAGACCUCCAGAAAACAUUAUUCUUAUAUCUUUGGAAAGCUUAUAACGUUACCUACAACUUUCUUAUUAUCAUCUAAAUAUGAAUCUACAGUUAACAAGGUCAAUUAAUCCCAUGAAGAUAUCUCUGUCCAAAACAUAGACAGAAUCUGUCAUGCUAUAUUAAACACCCAUAACUUGAGUUUCACGUGUCCAUAAAUUAUGGUUAUAUACUUUCUAGAAACCUUAAUUAAUGGUGAACAACUUUGUUAUAAACAUGUAUAGCUAAAUCUACAACUAAAAAGGUCUUACUUUACAAACAAUGCAACCUGUCUGGGUUUAGACAGAAACUGGAACAAUAAUUUAAACCACUAUAACUAAACAUGUGCUUAACCAAAAAUUGUGCUAUAUACCUUUCUGGAAAGCUUAUGAAAAGUACUAUAACUUAUAUAUUUUCAUUAAGGCAUGAUUCACAACUUAACUGAGCCAAACAAUACAAACAUGCAGACCUAUUCAGAAUAGGAGCAAAGCAACAAAGGGCAUUUGUUAUUUUUAGAACUCUUAAUCUAUCAAUCCUAAAAUCAUGAAAAGUUUACCAGACAUCAAUCAUCAUAUUAAAAGCAUGUCACAAUAUUUUCACAUUUAUUUGGGCAAUAACACAGCAGUUAUGAAAAAGACAAUUAUAACAAGCAAUUAAAACCUAACUGCUUAAAUCUAUUUUUGCGACUAAAACUUCAAACAAAACCAUGACAUAUUAUAGAUCUAAUGCAUAGAGAAUUUUAUAAGGAUUCCAAAAAGUCCACAUUUGCUAUUUUACAAAUUUUCUAUGAAUUACUAUGCAUUUCCAAAGUUCAUACAAGAAAUCUGCAAAAAAACAAAAGAUAAAGGAAAACGACUUUGCAUCGGGAACCCUAAACUUUCUCCGAAUCAACCCGCCGUCCAGAGCAGAGUCUUGGCUUCGCAUCUGGAACCCUGAGGUUUACCCUAUUUCCACCCGAGGUCCUCUGUCUUCUUCCUGUGAGCGACUGGAUGAACAGGUUACGAACCGUAACAGCAUCCGCAUUGGCCAUGGCCGAGCACGGCAGGGAAGGGCACCACGGCGGCGCAGCGAUGACCAGCGAGGCAAAGGCAACCUCAAUGUCGCGCGCGGCAACUCUGGCCUGCCCAGCAGUGCUCGGUGGCGGCAGUAGGCGAAGCCAUGGCGGCGGUGGCGUGGUUCUUGGCCAGGGAGCGAGCGAAGGAGAUGGGGAUGACGCUGAGGGAGUAGAGGAAACCGGGGAUGGCGCUCUGGUGCUCGUCCGGUCAUCCCCAUCCACACAGAUAGAGGCAAGGGCGAGGUGGAGGUGGCAGCCAUGGUGGGACAAGUUCUGCUGCAUGGUGACCACGUCGUCAUUUCGUCGAACGCGUGGCGGACAGCAAGGUAGAGAAGGUGGGACGCCGGUUUGAGCCACUUCUGGGCCGAAUUGGACCUUGGGCCAAAUUGGAGGUUUGUUCAUCUCGCCGUGCUCUAUAACUUUGAUUAAGAGACCAAGGUCAUGAGACCAAUAGAUUAGGAGAUAACUUGAUGUCAAGUCACGAGUGUCAACGUAUUGACGGUGAUUAGCAAAACCAAGAAUUGAUGGUCCAAACCAUGUCAAACAUGAUGCAACUUUUCACAUUACCUUCUCCAAGUAAUUGUCCACCACUUUUAUUCUUGGACUAACUUGAGUUGCUUAACAAAAACACGAGAACGCGGCAUGCCAACGGGUCAAUGUCCGUUUAGCAAUAAAAUAACUUUUUGCUGUUUUGGGAGCUACUUUUAGAUAUCCAAAUGAACUCCAAAUUUGAUGAUAGUUGAUCCAUUGGUUUCAUGAAGAAGAGUACUCCAACUCAUAUUAAGGAAUCUAAUUGAGUUACCAUAUGAAUUUGGAUAAUAAAAUGUCACAAAAAAGCUAACUUGCUGCUGUACUUCCAAGGACUUAGAAUUAUUUCUCAGGGCUAAAAAGCAGCAACUGAUUCGAACUUUGAGCCUCUGUUUGAGCUAUUUUAAAACUGAUUUGGUUCUUGACUCUUGAAUGAAGUUUCUUCUACAGAAGCAAAACUACAACUUUUAUUUAGGGUCAAACCUCAUAACUGCAACAGAAGUCAAUCUUUCACUUUGGUCAAUGCAGUAACCCGAUAAAGCUCCAAAUAGGAUUUUAGGCCAAUUGAAGCAUUUUCUUAACAUAAGCUCAACAUGAAUCCUUCAUGACUUUUGUUGUAUAAUUCAUCUAGAGUCAUAUGAGCAAGUUUGGAAGGUUUGGUUCAUGACCCAUGAUUCUAUUUCCUUAAUAGAGUCAUUCCAACAAGGAUAUAACUCAUCAUUUCAUGUGACUUCUUGAUUCCAAACUUCACCAAACUUUUCUAGAGACCAAUAUAGAUUGGGAUGGAUAUGAGACACAUGAAAAAUGUUCCACUAACACCAUCCAAGUAUACCUUUCAAAAAGGGCAUAUAUGUAAGUAAAGGUGCAUCAUCCAUGUCCAAGUUAGGGCUUACUUUCAUAGAUUGACUUUGACCUUUUUAUUGCCAUUGAACUUGUCAUGUUUGAGCUCAAACCUAGUACUUAGCAAGUGACAAACACCUGGGGUGUUACAGCCUUCCCCCCUUAAAAGAAUCUCGUCCCGAGAUUCGGUGCAAAACACUUGCAAGGGAAGAAAACAAUGUCACACAUUUUCCAACAUUAACGAUAGAAGUGGGUGACUUAGCUUAGAGCAUCAGAAAAGCUAACUUGAUCCGAACAUUUUCUGAUACUUGUCCAUCAUAGUAAACCUUUAUCUGGAGAAUCUCCUCUUUUGUUUGACUUCAGUGAAGUAUUGUUACAUUGGGAGGAAUCCAAGACAACACUGUUCCAUGUACUUUGUUCCUAGUUGUUUAUAGCAUAAGGGGCUACUUGUACCAUUAGCUUCUUUAGUCAAACUAAUGCAAGCCAUAUGAACUUCACACCAGGUCACAAGCCUCUAAGGGUUGCUCAUUAUAGAGGUUCCAGGCUCAUUCACAAGAUUUGAAAAGCAGCCCUCUACCAACAUGGUUGGAUUACAACUUUCCACGCAUGCAGUUCUCUUUCUCUGAUGACAACAUUGUACUUACCACCUGGUUAAGAGAACGGUGAAUGUGAUAGCUGACUCUGUUGGUUUCACGCCUUCCAUGAUCAUUUACUUUAAUGGGAUUCUUGUAUCCAAACAACAACAGUUAUCUAGGUCGGAUCAGAUGUAACUUCUUGGGCAAUACAUAGAGGGUAACAAAGGCAUGUAAGAAUUAGAUAACCACUACUGACAAAGGAUGAUUGUGGGGCCUAUAGGUCUUCAACUACUGCAAGUGUUCAACCAACUAAAGAAAUAAUUUACCACCAAGUAGGUUAAGCAUUACCUUUCUUCAUGAUGCAGUUGCAUAAUAGUUAGGUUGACUUGUUCCAUAGCAAAACCAAUCCAUUGGAACUACUUUUCCCUUUAUGGCUUCCUUUUUAGGAUCAGUCAGUAGCUCAAUUAGUGCGUGGGAAAGAACCAAGUAUUUCCAUUGGAACCAAUCCAUUGGAACUACUGAUCCAUUGGAACCAAUCCAUUGGAACUACUGAUCCAUUGGAACCAAUCCAUUGGAACUACUGAUCCAACUCAGGCCAACUGCAUACCAAGAUACAUCCCCCUUGCAGUUAGUGCGUGGGAAAGAACCAAGUAUUUCCCAUCUGCGAAUAUUUGGCUACGUAGUGUACGUGCCAAUACCACCACCCCAGCGUACUGCAAUGGGACCCCACCGGAAGUUGGGGAUAUAUGUUGGGUUAUGUGACUCCGUCCAUAAUCAAAUAUUUAGAACCUAUGACUGGGGAUCUUCAUACGGCUCGGUACACGGAUCGUGUCUUUGAUGAAGACAAUUUCCUAGCAUUACGGGGAGAUAGGCAUCCAGAAGAAUGCCGGGAAAUUGAAUGGAAUGCAUCAGGGAUGCAAUCCUUAGAACCACGCACUAGCGAAUCUGAACUGGAAGUUCAGAGAAUUAUUCUUUGCAAGGUCUUGCAAAUGAGCUGCCAGAUGCCUUCACUGAUCACAAAAGGGUGAGAAGGUCGCAUAUACUUGCAGUAAAUGCGCAGGAGAGAGUUCAGGUACCCUAGAUGGCUACCAACUCUAUAGUCUCCCCUAAUCCUAGGAUGAGGGGGAGACCUCUAGGUGCUCAGGACAAGGUCCUGCGGAGACGUCCGCAGAGGCGACGGUCUAAGACACUUGCACCACUCGAAGAAUCAGUUGAAAAGGCUCGACCCGAAGUCGAGAAUGCCCUAGAAGUGGCAACUCAACCUAAAGUUGAGGAAGCCCUUGAAGGACACCAUCCUGAAGAUGGAAAUCCCAAUGCGUCGCGUGCACAUCAUCGUAUUGGAAGAUCGAAACGCCCCAACUCAAUCGUUACGGGAAAUCACGAUGGGUGGGAGGACGAUCAUGAGGAGAUCGCCACUAAUUAUGUGGAAUCAGGAGAGUCAUAUCAUAGAAAGACCACUAUUGUCGACAUAUAUUGUGCCUCAAAAAUUGCUGACUCAAUGGAUCUGGAUCCAGAACCAAAGUCCAUGAUAGAGUGCCGGAAGCGCUCGGACUGGGAUAUAUGGAAAGCAGCAAUUGAGGCUGAGUUGCGCUCGCUUUGCCAAAGAGAGGUUCUUGGGCCUGCAGUCCCAACACCUCCAAAGGUCAUCCCUGUAGGAUGCAAAUGGGUUUUCAUCCGGAAGAGGAAUGAACAUGGUGAGGUGGUAAGAUACAAAGCGAGGCUAGUGGCACAAGGGUUCACGUAGAGACCCGGCAUCGAUUAUGAUGAGACUUACUCUCCUGUUAUGAGUGGCAUAACGUUCUGAUAUCUUAUAUCUAUGGCAGCUAACUUGAAUUUGAAAAUGCAGUUGAUGGAUGUUGUGACUGCAUACUUGUAUGGGUCACUUGAUUCGGAAAUAUACAUGAGAGUCCCUGAAGGACUCAAGAUCCCUGGACCGAAUCAAAACCGCAACAUGUUCAGCGUCCGCUGUUGACACUUGCUAACACCACUUUGAAUACUAGGUUGUCAUCCCUAGCAUGGCACUAGAGUGUACUAUGGUAUUUAUACGCACACAGAUAAUCCGCAAGCGCACGGAUACCGUUGAAGCUUUUACCCGGUUAAAGGUUUUAUCGUAUCCACAGGGAAACGAGAGAAGUGAUCUACGCUCUAACUUAACCAAGAUAAGUAAAUAGGAAAGAUGGUAGAAUCGAAUAAGAACAAUAUUAAAGGUAAGAUAACAGUGAGGGAUAAUAUGGGAAUAGAGAGUAUAGCAAUUCUAGUAUAUGGGCGAUGGUAGCAGAUUAGAGAGGAUAACUAUGGUUUCUCUACUUCAAAGGGGUAUGUCUAUGUCUGGGACGAACCACGUGAUAAGAAUACACCACAAAGGAUGCUUAUCCAUAGGCUGAUAAACCCUACCUGUCCUGCUAACGAGAGGUGGACUACAGAGGACCAACGUAACUGUCACCUACGCGGCCUACCUCACGAUCCAGCUAGACAGGGGAUAUCCACAAGUAAUCUAGGUCUAAGCACCACGCUUACACCAAUACUACAACUCUAACCUAUAGGGUCCUAUAGAUUAGAAGUACUCAAAAGAGUUGUGAACCAGAACAUACAUGAUUAGUAAUUGCAUAAUGAAUUAGAAGUAGAUUACCAUGGUCAUCCCCUGAGCAAGCUUGAUUAGAGCUUGAUCAUGAUGAAGUACAACCGGAGAAAGAACCGACAGGCCGGCCUCUCCUCUAAUCCUCCUUCGCUCUCCAUCUCGCUACUAUCUAGAUCUACUCUAGUUUAGAGAAGAGAGGAGAGCUCUCAUGUCCAAACCCUAGCUUUUGCUCUUUUUAUGAAUAAUGAAUAAUGAUCAAGGGGUGUGCCUCCUCCAGGGGCCAGGGGGUCUGGUUAUAUAGUCCCCUCAAGUGAACCUGGGCCGUUGGAUGAAACCGACAUUGAUUGAACGGUUAUUCUUGAUCCUUUAGGUCGGUGGAGCAUAAUCCAUGAGAUUGAGCGUGAUUGGCCACUGUAGCAGGGCGGGCGCCUAAGGGGGGUGGGCGGGCGCCCUGCCCCCGAGCCCGCUCGGCCUCCCGUUCGUUCUCGUGGCUUCUGGAGUCUUCUAGAUGGUAGAAAAUUGCGCGGCACGUUAAUAUCUCUAUGUAAACCCGAUGUGUGGGCCUUUCCUCCGUAUUUCCUGAUAACCCCCUACAGAAAUAGACAAACACCAAAACUUGUGGAAUUCUGUCAGAUAAAACCCUAAGUCUGGGUGUUGGUUGCAUUUGGAUCCUUUUCUUUAUUUAUUUGAUGAUUAUAUUUGGUACUUAAGGACCGUCAACAACUCCCCCAAGCUUACCUCUUGCUCGUCCCUAAGCAAGGAUGGACUCAAGAGUUUCUGCAGUGGUUUUAUGCCUUAAAGGUACACAUGCGUUUAAACAAGAUAUUAUCUCUAGGUUAGGGUAAACUGUUAAGAUUUAAACUUACUCAUAUUACCUUCCACCAUGGGGCUUGCAACUGUCAGUUGUGUCUUGAGCAGUUAAAAGAUAGAACGGUCAAGUCAAGCGCCAUGUUUCUUAUUCUUGAUCAGCUAUAGCUCUGGAGUUUUUGUAGAUUUUCAAAUAAAACUCAGAGAUUCCUUGUAUGACACUCUCUACUCUCUCUUUUGUGGUAUUUCUGGAUCCUUACCAAGGCAGUGAUGAUAUACACCUUUCCUCAAAGUAUGUAGUAUUUGUGGUAUGAGGCAUAGUGAUAUUGCCUUCUCUCUCACCCUACUCUAAUAAGGUUUGAUAUCUGGAGCUCAUAGGUGGGAGACAGCUGAUACAUACUUACAAGACAUUUAUUGCAUAGUCAAACCAUGGAUCCAGAGAAACAAGUCAAUAAGUCAAAUCAAGAUGUGCAUGUGUGGCGAAUGAUUGGUGUAUGGUGAUAACUGUGAAAAUAAUGGUGAAAGUCUAAUUCUACUUUUGCUCUUUUGAGGGGAUACAUACCUUUCUUGUACUUUGAAGCUUUUUGAGGGGAAUGAGAUGCUCUAUAUUUUAUUUUUCUUUUCUCUCAGGUGGGUAUCUUGUACCCCUAAUUCUACUAUCGUACACUUGUCCAUUUUUACCUCUCGUCUCACUUUCUCUUUUCUUCGAGGUUUCGGCCACUUGCCCCUUUUUAUUUCCUCGUAUUAUUAUUUUUUUUUUCAGAGCACUCACCCUGCUAGAAUAAUGUAGCAAGUGGUAGUAACCAAAAUAUCAAGAGCAUUUAUUUCACGGGGAAAGGUAAAAUCGGUAAUUAUCCAUAUUUAUCCUUUCUACAUUCCCUUUUCCCUUUUAUUAUUUACUUUCCUUAAAUAGCUUGUUAAUUAAUCAUGCUAUCUUGAAAAGAAAUUAAAAAUGUUAAAAACAGUAAGCCCCAUGUGAGUAUGCUCGUGGCAUAAAACCCAUAAGUACGUUCACUGUGGUGGCGUAAAAAUAAAAUAAAUAUAUUCCUAUCAUAUAAAAAUGAAAAUAUAAAAAUAAAUUUAUGAUCCUACCAAAGAGAGUAAUAUUUAUUGGAGGAGGCUCAACAUGAUAAAGGCUAGAUAUUUAUGCUAACACUUAACUAGUUCCACAAAGCUUUAUUGUCUAUUUGAGCUCCACAGAAUUCAAGGAUCAAAGAAGACUAGCAGACGGAGGACGUCCUAAUCGCUGUGAGGGUACUGCCGACAUUCAAAUACACCUCCACCACCUGCUAGCUACAUCAGAAGAAAUUACGUCAAAAUCCAGCUUGGGGGAGAGCACCCCCAUUUAUCCAGCUAAGUGUUUCUACUCGCAUUUAUACUUUAGUCAAAUAAUAAAAAGAUGCAUAAUCAGAAAAACCCAAAUAAAGAUUUUUGUGCUUAUAUAUAUCUUUGCUUAGUUUGCUAAAUAAAUAAAUAAAUGAAGUUUGCUAUGAACCCUCAUGAUAAGCUCUCACAUAGAAAUGAUGAAUAGUUGCUCUGCCAUGACUAGUUCUCAAAAUUGAAAUCUCUCUCAAGUUUAGUAUCUAAAGUCUAAGUCGUUGACGGAUAUGAUAUGGGAAGGUUGAGCUGCUAUUUAUCUAUUCCUAGAGAUGCUAGAAUUUUGGAGAAUUUUAUCUUUGAAAAUCUUUAAAAUGUUGCAUGAUGAGUUCUUGUAUGAUGAGAGUUUAAAAUCCUACCACAGCCACAUAUACAUGCUUAUUAGACUAUGAACCAUACAUUUACUUUUUACUAAUUAUGAGCAUUGAGUGUGGUCAAGCUGUGUAGACCCUUAGGAGCUUGUCAUGCGGUUAAAAUCAAAAUUCACUUGCACGUUCACUAAUACAUGCUGCUUCUACUCCGAAAGUACGCAUCCACAUACAUCCACUCAUUUCCAUCUCCAGAUUCACCCAAAAUUAUUCUACUCCUAUCCAAGAGAGAAUAGCCAAAAACAUUAUCUUAUCCCUGUUAUUCCCCGUGAAAUAAAUGCUCGAGGUAUUUUGGUUACUACCACUUGCUACAUUAUUCUAGGAGGGUGAGUGCUCUGAAAAAAAGAAGAAAGAUACGAGGAAAUAAAAAGGGUCAAGUGCCCGAAACCUCGAAGAAAAGAAAAAGUGAGACGAGAGGUAAAAAUGUACAAGUGUCUGACAGUAGAAUUAGGGGUACAACAUACCCACCUGAGAGGAAAGAAAAAAAAUAAAUAAUAUAGAGCAUCUCAUUCUUCUCAAAAAUCUUCAAAAGAGCAAGAAAGGUAUGUAUCCCCUCAAAAGAGGAAAAAGUAGAAUUAGACUUUCACCAUUGUUAUCACCAUACACCAUUCAUUCGCCACACAUACACAUCUUGAUUUGACUUAUUGACUUGUUUCUCUGUAUCCAUGGUUUGACUAUGCAAUAAAUGUCUUAUAAGUAUGUAUUAGCUUUCUCCCACCUAUGAGCUUCAGAUAUCAAAACCGUAUUAGAGUAGGGUGAGAGAGAAGGCAAUGUCACUAUGCCUCAUACUACAUAUACCAUAGGCUUUGAGAGAAGGCAUAUACCAUCACUGCCUUGGUAAGGAUCCAGAAAUACCACAAAAGAGAGAAUUGAGAGAGUCAUACAAGGAAUCUCUAAGUUUUAUUUGAAAACUUGCAAAAACUCCAGAGCUAUAGUUGAUCAAAGAACAAGAGACAUGGUGCUUGACUUGACCGUUCUAUCUAUUAACUGCUCGAGACACAAGUGACGGUUGCAAGCCCCA